GUGAAAAAGCUCACAAUUCAUUCUGAUUCCCAGCUAAUCACUAGCCAGACAGCUUGAGUUAAGCAUAAAGACGGAGCCGGCAGCCAAAAUGUCAUAGGUUAGUGUAACUCCCAACUGGCAAAGUUCUAUUAUAGACUACCUGGUCAACGGCACACUCCCCACCGAAAGAUUGGAGUCUAGGAAACUCUAAAUCAAGGCGGCACGCUUCUACAUGUGGAAUGCCAUUCUUAUUUGAAGAUCCUGCACCAGAUCACGUCUCCGCUGCUGAGUGCCUCCUGAUAACUUAAAGGUUCUAAGCUUAAUCCACAAAAGCAUUUGUGGAAAUCACUUCGGAGGUCGAAAUUUGGCACAAAGGGCUCUUAACACAGGCUACUAUUGGCCUACCAUGCACCAAAAUGCUAAGGAAUUAGUACAAAAGUGCGACCGCUGCUAACACUACAAGCUGGUACCAGCACUACCUGCUAGCAAACUACACCUGCAGAUGAGUCAUUGGCAGUUCAUGCAGUGGGAAAUUGACCUGGUAAGACCUAUGCCACCUACUACUAGGGGCAGAGACAUGAUGAUCGUGGCAACCGACUACUUCACCAAAUUGGUACAAGCAGAGCCUAUGACAACCACGAUUCAGACAGACAUAGAGCGUUUCAAAUGAAGGAAUAUCAUUUACCGUUUUGGCAUCCCUUAGUCCAUCGUCACCCACAACGGCCUGCAAUUCAUGGGCAGAGAUUUGGCUAAGUUCUUCCAAAAGUAUGGCAUAAAGCAACACAUGUCCAUGCCAAUAUAUCCUUAAGGCAAUGAGCAAGUCGAAGUAUCCAACAAAACAAUCUUUGACUGCCUCAAGAAAUCCUUCACCAAUAAGAAGGGAAAAUGGCCAGACGAACUCCCUAGAUGUCUAUGAGCAUAUCGUACCACCAAAAGAUGAGCAACCAGUGAGACUUCUUUCUCUUUGGCAUUUGGUUAAGAAGCAAUCAUUCAUCCUAAUGUCAUCAAGCCAAGUAUCAUCGCUCUACUACCAAGCAUUGAGCAGAAUAGUAAGGAGAUGGCCACAAGCUUAGGUCUGGCAGAGGAUAAACGCGAGCAGACCAUCACUUGCAUUGCAGCCUACCAACAACUCAUUUCCAACUACAACAAAAAGGCCAAGAUCCGGUAGUUCUAGCCUGAAGAUCUAGUCAUAAGAAAAUCCUUUAUCACUGCCCGCAGAGAAGGCUCUAAAAAGAUGGAUCCCAUAUGGAAAGGUUAGUACAAGAUCAACAGAGUAGGCAACAAAAGUAAUUACACCCUCGCCACCAUGAAACAACAAAAAGAUCGAAAAGCAGUGGUACGUCUACAAUCUGAGGAAGUACCAUGUGUGAUCUCCAGCUACAUCAAAGCCCGAAGACUCAAGCAGCUCGACGGGCACCAUCUCACAAGCCGAUGACUAUCCAAUUGUUAUGCAGUUCUUACUUUAUAGCUAAGUUCUCGUUCGUUUCAUUCAUUUUUCAAUGGGGAAUUCAGAAGUAAUCACAAAUUGGCUCGGCUGCAUGCUUACAACAACUGAUCACUCCUGCACUUCAAAAGAAGACUGCGCCCUUUUUAGGGACUUAUCGCAGGAAUUGCGCCAUUCGAGGGACCAACCAUGCUCUCUAGUGCGAGAGGGUAAACUAAUUACUCUCCAGUGCGAAAGGGUAAACCAAUUCCCCGACACCCACAUGGGUCAGCUCUCCAAGAGGGGAGGAUACACUUUACACUCCGAAUAUCCAAACGUGGAUUAGCCAGGUUGCCCUAGUAUAACUAGAUGCAUAAUGGCUUACGCCGGGAUUCCUAAAAGUAGCCAUAAUGGUCUUUUUCGAGGCUUAGCUAACUGAAGGAUUUUGAGUCUCUUGGCCUAAUCCGUGGGGAACCGGGCCCUAGAGACGGAGGGGGCAUAUUACGGAGUACGCCUUACAGAUGGUUGCCCUGGAACCCUAAAGCUACUACUAAGUGCACUAAGGUAGUCUACGGUUUUCGGAAAACUGCCUACGGCUUGCCCUUCGAGCAGUAAAACCACGCUAGACUUAUACAACCGCACAUUCUUGUGAAAGGUUAAACAAGCUAGCGUGCAUAUACGAAGUUUUAUCCACUGCCGACAUGCUACGUGGUUGAUAAACUUCACCUCUGCCAAGCGCGGAACAACCUACACCAAGUCCUAAAGUGUUGUGAUACUUGCUACGCAACCUACGGAAUUGGAGAAAGCCAAUGUUAACAGUCUAGUGGUUACGCAAACUUGUCUGCUUCUGUAAGUAAGGCAUCUCGCUGCCAACCCUAAGGCUAACAACUUUGCAAAGUUCUAUACCAACAUCUACGGCUGCAUAGGCUACGCGAGCUUGUCUUCUUAUAAAAAAGUAGCAUGCCUGCCACUGGUCUAUCAAGUCUAAAGGUUAGGGCAUGAACAAAAUAAGCGAAGAUGAAGAAAAUCGAAGGAAACAUGUGUAUAAACAAUUAGCAAAGGCCAAAAGAGUUCAAGCAAAACAAGAGCUACAAGGAAAAACAAAUAAAAUCCUAAAGGCUACCUAGAAGACUACAGCAGCUUAGUCAUCCCACGACUACUCGGUCGCCACACCUUCAGCAGCUGCGACUUUCUUAGCAGCGGCAUUAUCAAGCGCUUCACCCCUGGCUGCCCCAGCCUAGGCCUUAACUUCUCCAACUACUUCCCCAAUGCAAGCCUCAAAAGUAAAAGCAAGCAAGUCUUUCGGAGAAAUAGAGAAGCUCAUCCACUUCCUUCUUCAAACUUUCAUUGAUCUUCAGUACACCUUGAAGUUCCAACAUUUGGGGUUCAAGCCUAUUGACGAUUCUCUUGAAGUGGAUCACUUGAUUAUAAGCAAUAAUCAACUCUUCAUCAUUUGCAUAAGCAGUGAAACAAAGCUCAGAAACUGCAAACUCAGGAUCUUGAAUAUGAGGUAUGUAAUAUCCAAUCUUCUUCUCUGCACUUUCAUACUUAACUUGGAUCGCGUCAAGCCUAGUCUUUAAGUCAACGAUCUCGUGGUGAGCAAUCUCAAGCUGCAGAGAAGUGGAGGCAGAAAUAUUAGACCCUUCAAAGUAACAAGCUCAGGAUCCAACCUCUUGAUCUCUUCGGCUGAGGAAUAAGCUUCAGCUGCCAUAGUCUUCGCCACCUCCUUGGCAGCCUUGCUAUAUAUGCAUCAUAGCAAGCAGAACAGUCCUUCUAUAUUGGGUCGUGUGCUUCGCAAAGGAACUUGGGCAAACAACCUUUCUACCGCCAUCAACAAACUUGGCAUAAACGUCUAUGUCUUUAAGCAGAUUUAGUUUCAAAAGCAUACAGAUCUCAGCAGCCUCCUCAGAAGCAACUUAGUGAAUUUCUCAUAGCUGCCCACGCGAACAGUCUUAUCCUUCUUAGCAAGAGAAUUAGUCUCAGCAGUAAAGGGAGUGGGCCUUGGCGCCACUUUAGCAAUAGAGUCCACCUUAUCGCUAUUCAUAGUAGCAAGCCUCUCUAAAGGUGAACCGAACUUAGCUCUCAACAGACAUCUUGGUACAGACUUCGGCAUUGGGGACAUGACAGGACCUUUAUGCUGAGCAAUCCUAUCAGCAAUCAUACUAGCCAUUCUUGACAUGGUAGGCGCCACAUGCACAGAUCUAGCAGCCUCAUUUUUUUCUUCCCAUUGGAAGAAGUUAUGUCAAUCACAAGCAUUUUAGCAGUAGACAGACCCUCAUGAGCAGCGGAGGAAGGCUUCGGUUUUUCUCAACCGGCAUUUCUUGAGCAGGCGGGGAAGAUAUCUUAUUUCCACCUUCAUUCAUAGUUAGCUCCACGACAGCGAUCAGACGAGCCAAUGCAUCCGCCUUGAUCCUCUUUACCUUAUCUUUCGAGACAGUAGGGGAGCUCAACCUAACAUUCCAGCAGGCAAGAGGUCUGCAUGCCCAACAUUCUAGCAGCUCGUAAGGCCCGCUACCUCCUCAUUUCUCUCAAUCGUCGGCCUGGCCCGUGUCAAGUCUAAGAGCCCAAAGGACAUGAGCCAUGCGGCUCACCUAGCACCACAUUUCAACGCUUCAAUCUGAGGUCCUAAUCGUACAAGCUGCCCAUGGCUGAAGCCAAGUUGAGCAACCUAAAGCAGUGGUCCCUGCCACAACACCUCAUCGGCCCAUACCAAGUUGACUCCUGGCCCUUGAUAGCCAACGUGCUACACCACCCUGAUUGCUGCUCCGCGGCAGCACUAUCCAAGAAGAAGACAAGAAAAAUUUAAUUUUUCUUACAUCGGUGCGGCAUGGAGACGACGAAGAAAUCAAUGAAAAACGAUCAUUUGCACGGGCAAGAUGUAGAAGAUUGCUAGAGGAAGGGGAACAAAUAUCCUCUAAGUUCUCUCUCUCUUGUAGGGUAGAGUAAAUCACUCUCCAAAGUUGAUUUAAUAACCCACUUAAGGUGGACUUAAAUAGACUUUGAGAGAAAUUUAUUUCCCUUUCCUAGAAGGAUCUAAUUUCCUAUCAAAGAGGGAAUCUACAUAAAAACAAAGGAAGCAGUCCUAUGUUUCAUAAAACAAGAUCUCUACACCUGCUGCCCUUUCCUGCGAGCAGCCCAAACAGGUGUGAGGGCAUUUGUGGAGCCAAAAAUAAUCACAAGACGACACGUGGAUUUUUGGGUAAAAAGGACAAAAAUACCCUUAAGGCAUACCGGGAUUCCUACGCGCUAGCAACAUACCCUCAUCCGUCAAUCAAAACAAAAGUGCCCAAAAUAGGUAACAAAUUCAAAAUUAUUUCAUCCAUCCUGAUCCUAUAUUUUUGACAAGGUAAUCAUUCCAUAACUUACAAAAUAUUCCACAUAAAUCACAUAACCCCCAAAAUAUUUAUACCAAAAUGUGUUGAUUAACCAAUUAAUGGACUAAUUUCCUAAUCCAUUAAAUCACACAUUAAACCAUAAGUUACACCCUAUCCCUAUAAAUAGGCUCCCAUUUUCACCAAAAGACCAAUCCAACACUCUUGCUAAAAUCCUAUAGAAUUCUCAAACACUUUUUCUCUCUAAAUUCUAACUUUGGCAUCAGAGGUUCUUCGGCCAAAGCCCCCCCAUUCAUCGUGGGCGUGUGAGGCUCUUGGCCUUGACCUAAGGUGUUAAUUGUUUUAUAGGUGCAAUUUUGUCCAAGAUCAAGGAGGAAGAAAUUUGCAUCCACACUUACCAGUCCAUCUAACAGAGCCCGUCCGCAUCUGCUUGUUUGCAAACCCAUGUCGUAUACCGCCAUGAGUUUGACGAGGAUGUUGAAAACUAUUAGCAUUUAUGUUUACUUUAAUGUUUGGUUUCUUAAGCUUAGCCUGUUAGCAUUAGAGUCAGGUUUAGCUUUAUUAUAAAUAGCGUGCUUGUUGUUCGGUUGUGAAUAUGUUAGUCACGAUGUAGCCUCUUGAAAUUUUGUAGCCGUUUCGGCAUUCUCAGUUUGUUUAAUAAUAUUCUUAUUAUUUUGUAGUCUUAUUCCUUGCACACUCUGAUAUUAGGCACUACUAUAGCUUAUUAUAUGAUUAACAACGCUAAACCACUACAUUAUACUGUAAUUGACUUAUAUUACAGGAAUAAUAUUAUAAUCGCCAGUGGUGUCCGCUGGGAAGCUUCUCAUUGAUCUUGUCCAUAAUCCCCUUCUUUUCGUGGUGCUCCUCCAUGUAAGUGGUGACGCCGUAAGUAGUGGUGGUCAAAGUGGUAUGUGGUGUUGAGUAGUAGGGGUCAUCCUUGUGGCCCUCCGGCAGCUUGUCCUUGUUCUUGUCCUUCAUUCCCUUCUCCUGGUGGUGCCUUCCGGGGUAGGUGGUGUCGUAUGUUGUGUCAGUUGUGGUUGAACCUGGGAGCUUCUCCUUUAUCUUCUGUUUCAGCCCCUCUCCUCCCACCUAGCCCAUCAUCCUCAUAUGACUGCACCACAAUAAUUACAUACCCAACAUAUAUAAAUUCCAGGAGAAAAUAUAAGUUAAACAGUUUCAAGGUAAAUUUUGUUUGUCUCUUGAAAUAUUAGGAAUACCACCUCCCUAAAAAUAUAAUAAUUUGAGAUGAUACAAAUAAACAAUAAUUGUAUUAGGAUUUCACACACACGUUCCCUUGUGUGAAAAUAAUGUGGCCAAUUAAGUCUAACCCUUUUGGCUAGGUCGUUAUCUUUUUAGACAACAAAAUAAUGGUACAAAUAACAAAAUCUUAUGUAAAAUUAGUGUCGCAUUUUUAUAUGGGGAAAAGAGACUACUUACAGAGCUCGAGCUUGAGCUGCCAGAGCGAUGAAGCAUGCCAGUGGCACCAUGGUGCUCUUUCCUGCCAUAAUCGUGACCAACCGUGUCUUGAGCACCGUAUUCUCUGGCGAUGGAAGGAGUAAUGCUAGUAUUAGCACUAGACCUGUAAACGGGUCGGGUUUAUUGAGUUUGGGUUGGGUUCAAUCUAAUCCGUUAAUUUAACGGGUCAUCCAAAUCCAACCCAUUAAGUUAACGGAUCAUCCGAACUUAACCAAUUAAGCUAACGGGUCAUCCGUUAGCUCCGUAACAAUUUUUUUUUAAUAGUUCAUCCAAUAUGCAAAAAGACUCCUCUGCCUCCUGCUGCUCUUAAUUCAACCAAUAAUUAAGAAUUAUAACGUUUAAAAACACCUAAAAAUUAAAAAAAAAGGAAUAAGAAGAAAGGAAUUAGGAAAUUGCCUGCAUGAAAGCUCAAGAACUCGGACCCUCUUGGCCUGAGAGUCAUUGGAGCAACCAAGAAGGCAAGAACAUCAAGAAUUCCACAUAUUGUGAGUGACCAACUCCCAAAAAAAAAAAAACAGCGACAUGCUGCGGCUGCUGCCAGAUUGUAGACACCUCUUCCACCUCAAGUGCGUUGAUCCAUGGCUGCGGUUGAACCCUACGUGUCCUAUCUGCAGAAUGUCUCCAAUCCAAACGCCCUUGUCAACUCCUAUGGCCGAGGUGGUUCCAGUGGCUAGCAGGUGUGACUGAUUCAAAGAAGAGGUGGAAGGGAAUCGGAGCUUACCAGAAAGAGAGUAGUGAAGUUCAGUAAAAUUUUUUGAGGAAGAAGAUAGGGAGAUAACCAGAACAGAAGGGAAUGAGCACAACUAACGGGUGUUAACGGGUUUUACGAAUUCACUCAAAAUGACCCGUUAUUUAACGGAUGAUUAACAGGUUGACCCGUUAACCACCGAACCCGUUUAUCACUCACCUGAAUGCUAAUUUUAACGGAUCGAGUCGAGUCGGAUUAAUGAGUCAGAUGAAAAAUGACAGGUCUAAUUAGCACCGUGAUGACCAAGAGGGUUUCCGUACUUGUCCACUCGGGGACCCACCGGGGUGCUGUACUCGUCGGUUGCCUGGGUCGGGUUUCUGUGGGCAUUGGUCGGUGGUGGCCCGAACUGGUUAUGGUAAUGUGCUAUUUUUCAAUAAACACAAUGAAACCGUUUCUUUUUAUUUGAAAAUUUUGAAUGUACUUUGAUCGGAUUUGAUGGAUUAUGGAGUUAAAAGUUUGGAUCAGUUUAUGUAGGCAAAUGAACAGUCAUGCAUGUCACAGUGGGGUUCUUACUUGUUACACGUACGUGAAUAGUGACUUCGGUGCCUUGUCAACACGUUGACUACUGAGAAACGUGGCGGUGUGUGCAAGGGAAAAAUGUAUGUUCAUGUCGGCAUAGAAUAUUCAAGACUCUAGAUCUCUUCCACCAAAGCUUAACAAUCAAUUAGUCCGGAUUCUUAAAAUUUGAUCAAACGGCUAAAAUUAUUAUAACUUUUAAAUGAGCCCUCUAUUUGUAACCGUUAGAUUAAAUUUCAAAAAUUCGAAUUAAUUAAUUUAUGAACUUUGGUAUGAGAGUUCCGAAGAAAAUCUCUUCCGAAUAUUCAUGGCUAUGAUGAGAUGAGUCAGUGUCAACCUUGUUCGGAAUAGGAUUUCUCUUUUCUCUAAAUUUUCUAUUGUUUAAUCUAUUUUGUUUAAAAAGUCACAAUUAAGCAAAGUUAAUAUUUCAUGCCGUGGCAGAGCCACUAAAGAACAAGGGCAGUCAUGGGCCUAUCUUGCAAUUUUUUUUCCUUUUUUAUGUAUAAGAUAUAGCAUAACCUCUUUUUAUUUCUGGUAAAUUUAGUUGCAAUCUUGAAAUUCAUGGAUUUGGGAUUCUCUUAUUCUAGUUAUAAUGAUGUAGCUUCUUCAACUUGUUAAUUACUUCACGUUCAUCUUUGGGCGGAGGAGAUUAAUUUAGGUCGAAGUUUCUGACCGCGGUAAUUGAAUAAUUGUCAGGAUUUAUCACUUACUCUAAGAAUGUUGGCUGAUAUUUUUCUUUGUUGGCUUGAACUUCUAGUCCAUAUGCUCUUAAAUAUUAGUUGGAUUAUGUGACUAUAUGGUUGAUGCGGUAUGGGUAAUCUACCCCUAUCUUGCAUAUUAACCUAAUGAUUGAUGCGGUAUGAUAUUUUUCUGAGUUGAGAUAAAUAAAUCGAAAUACAACCAAUCUAUCUCGUAUUUUAGGCAUUAAAAAAUAAAGUUUCAUAAUUGUGAAAGGCCCCCCGUGAUGUAAGAUCUUGGCUCCGCCACUGAUUUCAUGUGACUUUUUUAUAAGCAAAUAAAUACAAUAAAAAUGUGAGAAAAAAGGAAAGCAAAGGGAGCGAAAAUUUGGAAAUUUGAAAGCGAGUCCUACUACGUCUUGUCGUGGAGAUGAAGAGCUCGAGACACUUCACCGCAUCUGUGAACUUGAAGAUUUAUGGCACGUUUACCUAAAAAAUAAUAAGAAUUGGAUUGACGAAGAAUUGAAUUAAGGAAGAGUAAGAAUCAAAUUCAUGCUGAAGCUGUUUACUUAAAUAUUCUAAAAUUGGAGUAGAAAUAAAACUGAGUUUAUAUAAGUUGUUUAUUAAUUCACUUAAAUCGAAAUAAAAAUCAAUAUGAUUACUAAAAUGCCCUUGUUCUUUUUUGUUUUAGUCAAUGUUCUAAAAUCCGCUAGGCGCUAGUUGGGCGUGUUAGUUACUCAAGCCCAACCCAAUCUGCUCAGUUCCUAUCUGCAAUGGCCAACCAAUGUGCGACACGCUGCACAUGUCACAUUUGAUAGGUUCAAUAGGUUCUUGGGUUUGCCCAUGGAGUUUGAACCUGAAGUGCCCAGUAGCAAUCGUCCCGCCGGCCAGCCUCUGACCUACACACAAAGAGAGAUCCCUCAGAUGACCAGAAGAAGGAGAAGACGAUCGGACAUCUGAGAGUCGCUAUGGAAAUGACAUCAUCAUCGGGCGGUGGAAGGUACAUGGCGUACUCGCCGUCACCGUCGGCACUUCACUCCCUUCACCUCUCUGGCCUUCGCUCCACCUCCUCAUCCGCUGCUCUCAUUGCCGCUGAGAAAGAAAAAUAUCUAUCUGAGCUGCUUGGGAAGCUUCACAAGCUGAGUCCAUUUUUGCCUGUGCUGCCGCAUUGCAACAAGUUACUAAACCAAGUGUUCUGUAUUUGCAGAGAGAGAGUUGUUGGUUGCAGGAGCACCAGUCUGUCACAAAACCCUUGUCUUCUUCCGUGAAAAUGAUAAACAAUGGCAGCCUGUUAGCCAAGACGCUCUACGAUGACCUGGCUUCAGGGAUGCAGUGGUCGUUUUCAAACAAGCCAAAAGUCGUUCUCUGGUGGGAUUCAACAGCCAAAGGAGCGGCAACAGAAUAAUGAAAAAAGAAUGACAAAAGCAAAAGAGUGAGGUGUAAGCUGUCACCAAUGAGUCAUAUUCGUCAGUUCAAGCAAGGCAAAAGCAACAAAGGUGCGAAGGAAAAGCAAAAGUAAUCAAGUGAGCUGCGGCAUAAAAGCAAAAGAGAAAGGCGCAAUGGGAAACAAAAGCGAAAGCAAAGUACAAAAGCCUGCAAAGCAGAAAGCAAAAGCAAGGAAUAAACAUCACAUUGCAAAAGCAAGGAAUAAACACCCCACCAGAAUGAUGUAAUUUACUUUUCUUGUUUUUGAAUGGUGUGAUUUAUUUUUCUUAUCUUUCGGAGACAUCUGUAUAAACCCCAUCAGAGGGUAAUAAUAAUAAAAAUAAAAAAAAAGGCAAGCCCAAAAUAAUGGGCUGCAAUGUUAUGUGGAGGGCGAAGGCCUAUAUGCCCAAAAGAGCCAGGCCUUAUGGCUCUAAAUUUAUUCGGCACCUUGCCGCUAUUAUCACCAAUCAGGUGAUCAAAAGUACGCCCAGUACUUCCAAAUUUAUUCGGCACCCUGCCGCUAUUAUCACCAACCAGGUGAUCAAAAGUACGCCCAGUACUACAAAAAAUUAUUUGGCAGCCCGCCGCUAUUAUCACCAACCAGGUGAUCAAAAGUACGCCCAGUACUCUAAAAAUUAUUCGGCAGCCUGCCACUAUUAUCACUAACCAGGUGAUCAAAAGUACGUCCAGUACUCCAAAAUUAUACAUGAGCAUCACUUAUGUCAAUCAUACAUAAACAUUCAUGAGCAUAACUCAUGUCAAUCAUACAUACAUUUAUGACCAUCAUUUAUGUCAACAUUCAUGAGCAUCACUCAUGUCAACAUCCAUGAGCAUCACUCAUGUCAAUCAAACAUUCAUGUCAACAUUCAUGAGCAUCACUCAUGUUAACAUCCAUGAGCAUCACUCAUGUCAAUCAAACAUUCAUGAGCAUCACUCAUGUCAAUCAGCUUUGAAAGCUUCAUUUACAUAGCUCCAGCUUUGAAAGCUUCAUUUACAGAGCUCCAGCUUCAAAAGCUUUAUUUACAAAAGCUCCAACUUCAAAACUUCACUUGCAAAGCUUCACUUACAAAGCUUUAGUGCAGGGUAUACAAAUACCGCCUCCGAACAACCGCCACUUCGGCCCAUACAUGGAUUGAAUUUUCAAGUCUCCAGCCAAAAGACUCUCUUGACUGAUGACUUGGGGGACUACAUUAUGUACCAUAUAUUGGGCCUCAAUUGGGUCUCAUGAAAAAUACUUGGGGGACUUAGCCUAUUACUUAUGUACUGAGGAGCGAACCCUUUUUAUAAAAGGAACUUCCUCACUUUCAUUAGAGAACACCCAUUAUUCAUGUACUGAGGAGCGAACCCUUAUUUUAUAAAAAUGACUCCCUCACCUUCAUUAGAGAGCAUCGCUGCCAGCUGAGCAACCGCCUCGCCGCGAACAUCACUCUAGCCCAUCACUUAUGUAUUAAGGAGCGAACCUUUAUUUUAUAAAAGGGACUCCCUCACCAUCAUUAGAGAGCAUUGCCGCCUACUGAGCAACCGCCUCGCCGCGAGCAUUAACUCUAACCCAUCACUUAUGUAUCGAGGAGCGAGCCCUUAUUCUAUAAAAGGGACUCCCUCACCAUCAUUAGAGAGCAUCGCCGCCUGCUGAGCAACCGCCUCGUCGUGAGCAUCAACUCUAACCCAUUACUUAUGUAUUGAAGAGCGAGCCCUUAUUUUAUAAAAAGGACUCCUUCACCAUCAUUAGAAAGCAUCGCCACCUACUGAGCAAUCGCCUCACCGCGAGCAUCAACUCUAGCCCAUCACUUAUGUAUUGAGGAGCGAGCCCUUAUUCUAUAAAAGGGACUUCCUCACCAUCAUUAGAGAGCAUCACCGCUUGCUGAGCAACCGCCUCGCCGCGAGCAUCAACUCUUAGCCCAUCACUUAUGUAUUGAGGAGUUAGCCCUUAUUCUAUAAAAGGGACUCCCUUACCUUCAACGCCACAAGCCGAGCCAACCAAAGCAACAUAAGCCAUAAACCGAGCAGCCUCGCAACAUGUGCUACUUCUAGUUGAGCAUUAUUUCAGAUUAAGCACCGUCUCAUAUCGAGCAUCAGUUCAAGACAACAUCUAGUUACUUCGGCCCACACAUGACCUGAAUUUCAAGUCUCCAACCAAAAGACUCUCUUGACUGAAGACUUGGGGGACUACUGUUUGUACCAUACUUAGGGCCUCCGUAUUUAGAUCUCGUAUAAAUACUCGGAGGACUCAAAUGUAAUUAUGUAAUAAAUAAAGGGGAAAAUAUGUAAUAAGUGAGGAACCCUUAGUCUAUAAAAGGACCCCUUAGUCUCCUCAUUAAGAGGCCAAUUCUUAGGCCUGAGAUCCCCAGAGCCUUACUCUCACUUUCAGAGAGGCUUAUCCUCACAUACAGAGGCUCUCUCCUUCACAAUCCUCUAAGAGAAAUACAAUAUCAGUGUGGACGGAGCCAAAACAUUGGGGUGAACCACAAUACAUCUUGUGUUAUUUACUUUGUUGUAGAUUCACGGUCGAAUUUACGUUGUUCCAAGACUCCUCCGGUUUUGUGCACCAACAAGGUUGAUCUUGAGUUGAGGCUGGGAACCUUUCUUUAGGAUGUGUUGUACUAUUGGCCCGCCAUUUUCUUCUUCGCUGUAGUUUGACAUGGAUUUAACUAUGGCCGGUCUUGAGAGCUCGAUAGGUGGCGCAUUGGAAAAUAGGUCGAUCUUGAGUCGAGGCUGGAAGCUUUGCUUUAGGAUGUGUUGUACUGGGGCAUACUCGACCUUCUCCUUCCUUUUGCUCUUAGGCAAACGGGCGUCUACCAUGCCAACUGUUGCUGAAGGGAAUGGAUCCGUAUCAACUGUCAUGCAUUUGUCAAGAAACUUUAACUUGCCUUUGUCAAUCCAGCUCUAGAUAUCAUCAUGAAAUAUGACACAAUUGUUUGUGAUGCUUGGUCAAAUUAUGAUAUUUGCAAUAUGUCUUUCCUUUAAGUUCUUCGGCCUUGGGAAUGUUAUGCCCUGGUUGAAGUUUGAUGAUCUUUGCUGAUAGCAAUUGAUAAAAAAUUGCUUCGGCAUUGGUGAUAUCAAAGGUAUAAACUUUUGAUAUCUUCGCUGUUUCUUCAGUGGUUGAGCGGGUUUUGACCUCCUUGGGAUUAAUUUGAGUCAAUGCCUUGCAAACGUAUGGUUUAUCUAUUACUAUCUCGGCCGUGUCCACGCUGACGUAUUGAGACUCCUCGUCUUCGGUCGAUGCAUAAUGACCAUGGGAUUUUUGUAAAUUAUCCCUCGGGAUGGGGAUUUCGAUAUUUUCUCUUCUCGGAGCAAAUAAUCAUAUUGCUCGACAUGCUGGGCUAAUUCAUACAUAUCCCGAAAGUUUACCCCCAAGAAUUUCUUUUUGUAAUCUACAUCGAGUCCGUUCAAAGCAAGUCUAACAAACUCGACUUCAGGGAAAGGUACUCGGCACCAAUUCCUAGCCGAUUUAAAUUUGGUAAGAUAAUCCAUUGGUGACUCAUCAAAUGCUUGAGCCAUCCUCGCCAAUGAGGAAACUGACAUUUCCAUUCCUGGCCGAUAUAAUUGCUCGUGAAAUUUCUCGACCAACUCUUCCCAGCUUUGGAUGGAAUUAGGUAGGAGAUUGAUAUACCAGGCAAAUGCUGAGCAUGUCAAUGAAAAAUUGAACAGUCGCAACUUAUGAAAAUCACUGUUAACAUCUCCGCAUUGCGCGGUGAAACGAGCCACAUGUUCUAACGAGGAUAAAGACAAUUCUCUAGCGAAAAGGCUAAAAUCUGGAAUUUUGAAACCUUUAGGAUAUUCGAACCUUUCCACAUAAGCUGGAUAUGGAUGGAUGAAUUUAGGGAACUUCGACCUCUUUUUCAUGGCCGAAUCAAUCAUCCGCUGGACCUCGGUCAUAUCGACGGAUGUUGCUUUCACUCUCUGGUCGGAUCCAUCUGACCUGCUACUCGAUCCUCCUCUUUUUUCUAAGUCAAUUGGCUUGAGCCGAGCAGGGAUUGGCUCGGCUUGUACUAUUGGUAACAGAUUAUUUUUUUGUGGCAAUUACUGGGAAAAAUCGAAGGACAUGUCGUCGCAGACCUUGCUAACCAGCAUUUCAAGCAAUUUGGUUUGCGUCUCACUGGUACUGCGUAUCACGUCGUGCAAUUUAUCGAUUCCUCGACUAAAUGUCUGUUCAACCGUCUGAGAUUGUUCGUCAAGUUGUCUUCGAAGAAACGAUCUUAUUGGUGGAUCAGAGGCUUAACCACCAUCCUCAUCACAGUCCUCUACUAUCCAUUUAUUGAGAACGUAGGUGUUUUUGUUAGGGAUUUCUAGACUGCGAAGUUAAUCGCCGAGACCAGCUCAAUUUUCUCGGCGAGUCGCGCUUGUGGACUCAGGUGUCAUGACGUUAAGGGGAUUCUGUGCCUGUGAUACAUUUUGUCCUUUGUUUUGGUAAAUCUAUUGUUGAUUUUCCCAUAGUUGUUUUCUUUUUAACCGAUCGUGUCUCAAUUGGCAUAAACUUCGUAGUUUUAGCACUGGGUCCCAUUAGGCAUGCCAAAAUGUUGACCCUAAAAACUACCAAACCUAUUUGGCGCACAGGCCGAGUAAUCUAUGAGCUAACUACGUCUUUCGGUUGUGUGCGGGGCGUGCCAACUCGGCGGUCAAGCUCGGCCAAGGAGUAAAAUAUGUUGAUGUCGUGUUGGGUGCGAUGCUGACUUCUUGAUCUUGCGACUGGGCCGAAGAAGGAACUUGUCUCGGCCUUUGGGUUCUAGAGCCUGAAGACAAGGCUGCUAACUUAGCGAAGUUCAAUAUCAAAUUCGUCUUCCAAUGUGCCGAAUGUAAUAACUCGUAACACCUCACUUCGCCGAGAAGGCUGAUGAGAUGACCUCGACCAACAAGGAUUCAGAAAUCCUUCUUGACCAAGACUUGGAUAGGUAACCAGUCGGCCUCGACGCAGUGCUGUUUAUGCCAACUGAAGAUGCUGCGAGAUCGGCUGAUUCUACGGUGACAGUGUUGUUUAUGCCAACUGAAGAUAUCACCAGUUGCCUCCACAGUGCUGUUUAUGCCAACUGAAGAUGUGUCGGCAAAAAAGAAAAUAAAAAAAUCUAAAAGUUGUUUAGAGAGUUUGCGCAGGGCAGUUUUGUGUGUUGAAUUGGAGGUGCUUGUUUCGAUGUCUUCCCUCCCUAUUUAUAGCAGCCAACCUGUAUUGAAUCUCAUUUGCUCUCAGAUUAGAACACCUUCUCAUAAUCCAACUUUAUCUCGACCAAUCCUAUUCCUACUAGGACUUUGAACACAACUCAUUAUCAAAUCGUAUUCAAUCUUAGCAUCCUGAUCCCGUCGAGACUCCCUCUCAUAACAGGAUUCGUCCACAUUCCACUUUCCAAUAGGAUAUGGCCCAUUUCGACCGCGCGACCCAUGGGUUGAAUAUCUUCUAAUGACACCUGUUUACCACUUCUGGGUCGAGGAUGAAUCUAAACUCGGCCUAUCCCACAUUGGGCCAGAAAAGAUCUAACUUGGCCCCAAACAGUAUUUUCCAGGCCCAAACAACUGGAUUUACUUUCACUGAGAUAUUUAUGAACAUGAUUUAUGAUAUGAUGUUUGAGCUAUUGAGCUCUGAUGAGAUAUAUUUUGGAAAGAUUAUGUUCAAUAAUUUUUGUGCUUAUCUAGUGGUCACUAUAUGCCUACGGGGCAAAUGAUAUCUAUAUAUGGCUUUGGUCGGGUGCUGUAAGGGCCUAUAGGCUAAUGAAGGCCUUCAAGUGAAUGAAGAGUUCUAUAUGCCUUCGGGCGAAUGAAGUGUUCUAUAUGCCUUCAGGCGAAUGAAGUGUUCUAUAUGCCUUCGGGCGAUACUGAUACCACUACUAAGCACACUAUAUAUGAUAUAUGUUUUAUGAAGUUUUAUGGCAUGCUAGGGUUUUCGGAAAACCUAUUACAUAUUAUACUAUUGAGUUUUCUUAAACUUUGGGGGUUAUUACGUUGAAGAAUAACUGUUUUAGUAUUACUUAUAUAUCAACUUGGUCCACUUAUGUUUUGUUUUGUGCCCCCUCAGGACUUAGAAUCGAGGCGUACAAUCCUGGCAUCAAGACACUCCAUCGUCGACAUCUUCGAAUCUUCUCGGUGUAGGAUCCAUUCCUUUGUUCAUUCAAUUUUAUAUUAUUCCUUUUUAGUGUCUCGAAUUAGUUGUAUGCUCUGAACACGUUCCACAAUUGCACACUCAUUAUAAUUAAAUUUACAAGUUUUAUUUAUGUCGGCUAUUUGUUUUUAGUUGUCAUGCAUCCUAUUAUGGAUUCGUCACCUUCGGGUGUUGACCAGCACAUGCCUACACUGGUAUGUUAGAGAAUAUCAGGGUCGGGCGUGUCAACAGGUUUGCCCGCUUCUUAUAUUAAGGUGUAGCCAUGCACACCAUAUGCAUAUUACGGAAAAAAUUUCACACAAAUUUCUACAAGUGAACACUUGAACUAGAAAUUGUUCCAUCCCAGUCUUGUAGCACGUCAAAACGUGAAAUUUAAUCCACAACCCAUACGCCCCAACAUGCAACACAAACCCUAAUUAACUUCUAAGUAUUAAUUCAUCUUACAAACAACCCAUUUAUUCCAUAAAUCAUUGAUGAAGGAAUUUGGAACUAAACACCCUACCUAAAUAUGCUUGCCGAAGCUUCAGUCGCUGGAAAAAAUGGAAAUUUUCGGCCAAAACAAAAAAUAUGGCAACUCACUCUUCUCACCUCUUUCUCUCACACACAUCACUUUGUUCGAAAUCAGGGGUAUGAGGUGAACCCAAAACCCAGCUCACUAAUCUCACUUCUCUUUGGACUUCCAUCUCUUCGAAAUCGAAGCUCAAAGAUCUGAGGAAGGGAGAUAGUAGAGAGAGAGAAAGUAAGAGAAGAGAGAGAGAGAGUAGUGAGAGAGGAGUCAGAAAUGGGAGGAAUAACCCAUUUAUAUGUGGGUAUUUUAGUAAUUUCGAUUUUGUACGUGGUGUGCAGGCCAGUUUGUCCUAUUUCUUUUUCAAGAUUAAGAAAUUGUCCCAUUUUGGGGUAUUUCCCUAAAAAUUUUGCAGUGUUCACAAUUAGCAUGAGGUGAAGGUGCCAGCUGACAGGUCCAAGUAUCAAAACCAUACUUGACAUGUAGUCUGUUGGUACCACACAUAAUGGUCCUCAGACUUUGAUACAUUGGGCCUCAUUACCCAGCCCAUAUGAUUAUGUAAAAGGAGAAGCCCUUUAUUCUAUAAAAGGAGACUUCUCCCUCCCUCACAAAGGGGACGGAGAAAAACCCAACAGAGGGCAAUACCCUCACAAACACAACAACACUCUUUUUCUCUGGGGGACUCCUCCUCACCCUUGUAAUCCAUACAUACAGUUAGAGAAAUACAAUCAGUGUGGACAUAGCCCAAACCUUGGGGUGAACCACGAUACAUCUUGUGUUAUUUACAUUUCAUGCAGAUUCACGGUCGGAGUUACGUUGUUCCAAGACCUCUGGUUUUGUGCAUCAAUAUUUGGCGCCGUCUGUGGGAAACGACACUUAUUCCCACUCUCUUCAGCUUUGUCAAGCUGGUUUCUACCAUUCGUACACUCUUUUUUAACCAGGCAUCCUUCUCCAACAUGGGGAGUGAAGGAAGCCACAUCACACAGAAUGACACCUCUCUUGCACCUAGAGCGAAGCAACGAAAAAGUGAAGGAAAAAGGGUUGCUCUUCAAGCUAAAGUCGAUGAGCUAGAAGCUCAGAACAACAAGAUAGCAAUGAAGAAUGAAGUCCUCCAGCAGCAGUAUGAGAAGCUCUUUGAGACGCUCCACGAAACUAGGCGUACUCAGACAUGCAAGCUUGUUGCCCCUAUGGAUAUCAACCAUCAUCUGGGUGCCCCCAACACGGAGGGUCACCUUCCUUCGACAUGGGUAUCCCUGAUGAGAAGCGAGCUAAUCAUCAAAACAUUGAUCAACGUGAGACUUCUCUCAACCCAGCUGUUUCGACCCGAAGCAAGAGAAGUGGAGGAAGACACCUUCUUGCGAAAGGGUUGGAAGGAUCGAAAACCGUUUAUCGUGACUGCCGAGACUUCCUAAAGCAACGUCGAGAGAAUCCCCUCCACAUAUGCUCGAAGAUCAAUAACCCAAGGGUUUCUGAAAGACUCGGUCCCCUCCCACGACCCAGGCCAGCUGCCAAUCUAGGGAAGGAACGACAGGUCCCUGAGGAACAUGAAGGUACAUGGGAUUCUGAGGUAUUCCGGCAAACUCACCCUAGAAGUCAGUACGGCGAGUCCAAGGAAAAAUCACAUGCCCUUGCUCAAACUUUCCUACUUCCAAGAGGCGAUGGAGACUUACGAAAGAAAAUCCUAGUGGUACAUGACUCUACUCAUGACCCCCUUGUCCUACGGCUCCUUGAGGAAGUAAACAAGUUGAAGGCCGAACGUCAAGCCGAGAUACCUGACUGGAACCAACCCAGGCCUGGCCCUCUCACAAAGAGGAUCCUCGACACCCCCUUCAAGAAAAGACAAAACAAAAGCUUGGUUUACAACUCUAUAUUGGAAGGAAAGACCCAAUUGAACACCUUAACCUAUUUGAGUCCACCAUGGCAUAUCAGAUGCACAUUGACGAAGAGCGAUGUCUUCUUUUCCCCUCCACCUUCUCUGGCGGAGCUCUAAACUGGUAUUGCCAUCUUCCACCUGAGACAGUAGACUCAUUUGAGAAACUGAGGAAACUGUUUGUUUCUUAACACAUUUUCAGACCGAUCGCUGGCAUUCUGCAGAUGACUUGUACACUAUUCGCCAGAAGCCAGACGAGUCACUAUGAGAGUAUGCCGAUCGUUUCAGCCAUGAGUAUUCUUACUGCGCUGAGGCAGAUGACAAGACCGCCCUCAAGGCCUUCACGGAAGGCCUACGUGAUGGUUUCUUCAAGUACAUGAUCAAUGCCAACACUUGGAAGACUUACUCUGAGGUGAUGGCACAGGCUUACAACCAUGCCUCCGCCGAGGCAAAGAUAUAUCAAGGGAAACCCCCCACAGCCACCCCUUAUCAGCAAGUAGGGAGUGGAAGCCAGAUCCAACCAAAUGAGAAGACCUCGACCUUCCAAACGGCAGCGGUACCUCCCCCUGCCUUACUUAAUACUUUGCCAAGUCAACAGACAUAUCAAUCUCAAGGCAAAAGGAAAGAUUUUCAUCCUCACCAGUCUCAUUUUAGUAAAAGGAGUAAGGGACACUACCGCGAUAACCAAGGGUAUCGCCAUGAUAAUCCUCGACCUCAGGCAGUCAACACAGUAGGUCAAACACGUGUCAGGACAACCCCUACCCUAAGGUAUGAGGCAUACACACCUUUGAAUGCCACAUGCGUGGCCAUUUACCCUAGCAUAGCACACCUGAUACCGAAGCCAAAGCCAAAGCACUCAGAUUACAAGCCCACGAAGAACACAGGCACGUUUUGCUGCUACCACGAGCAUAACGGCCAUGACAGCGAGAAGUGUAUCACCCUUCGUGAUCAUAUUGAAGCUUUGGCACGUGAAGGAAAAAUUGAUCAAUUCCUCCUUCACCCUCUAAGGGGUAACCGUAACCAACGCUAGGUGAAUGUGAUAUAUUCCAUAAGUGGUGGCACACCCAUAUCUAAAUCUUCCAACAAGGCCAUGAAAAAUAGCGAACGAGCAUUAAGGUCUGGCCACCAAGUGUUUCACGUGGAAGACAUCAGAGGAGGUAAGCAUUAAAAGCCUAACUGGGAUCCAAUAUGUUUCUACCCUGAGGAAGAAAGAGGUAUCAUCUACCCUCACAACGACCCACUGAUCGUGGAAGCUCACAUAAGCAACUUUGAAGUACGAUGAAUCCAGGUAGACACGGGGGCUUCGGUCAAUAUCAUGUUUGCUGAAGCUUUCAGGGCACUUAAUGUAGCUGAACACUUGCUCGAUCGCUCGAUUUUCCUUCUGAUAAGCUUCUCCGGGGAUAUCGUGCGACCUUUGGGGAGCAUACACUUACCUUUCACCAUUGGUACAGGCCCUUACACAGCUACCAUUACCACUAACUUCCUGGUGGUUGAUUGCCCAACGACAUACAAUGUCAUCUUCGCACGCACAUGUAUUAAUGAUCUCAAGGCCAUGGUAUCCACACAUAUGUUGUUGAUGAAAUUUCCAACCCCCUAUGGCAAUGGUUACAUCAUAGGAGAUCAACUUAGUGCAUGAUCAUGUUAUAACACUUUGGUCAAGAAACAGCACCUGCCUGUGCCCAAGGAAACCCUUUCUAUACAUGACCAAGUCAUAAAGACCAGCCCAGACGAAGCCAACUUGGAUCUUCACGGUGGCAACAGUCAACCCGCCGAUCCUCGAGAUGACUUUUUCACCCAGCAAGCACAACCCGCUGAAGAGUUGGAGAAGGUCUCUAUCUCAAAAGAUUAUCCUGAUCGCAUGGUGAAGAUUGGCACCACUUUGUCACCACCCAUUCGGUUGGCAUUGAUCUCUUUUUUCCAAGAGAACAUUGAGGUAUUCGCCUGGUCAUACGAGGACAUGCCAGGCAUCUCUCCCUAUAUCAUCUUUCAUCGCUUAAGUAUUGACCCCAAGACCAAGCCCGUGAGACAGAAGUGAAGAUUUUAUGACGCUGAACGGUACGAGGCAAUGAAGUCAGAAGUUGAAAAACUCAAAGGCAUAGGCUUCGUCCACGAAGUCAAUUAUCCAACGUGGGUAGAAAAUGUUGUCCUUGUUAAGAAGAAUCCGACCAAGGAAAGUCUCCUGCUCCAAAAGGUCUUGUGGAGAAUGUGUAUCGAUUACACUGACCUAAACAAAGGAUGCCCGAAUGAUAGUUUUCCUCUUCUUCUCAUAGACAAACUUAUAGACUCUACGGCAGGGUAUGAACUUCUGAGCUUUAUGGAUGCUUACUCAAGAUACAACCAAAUCCUCAUGAACCCUCCAAGAACACACAGCGUUCACUACUGACAGAGGACUAUAUUGCUAUAAAGUCAUGCCUUUUGGCCUAAAGAAUGCAGGAGCGAUUUAUCAGAGACUGGUCAAUUCAAUGUUCGCCAAAUAGAUUUGGAAGAGCAUGGAAGUUUACGUUAAUGAUAUGCUAGUCAAGAGCAAACAUGCUGACCAACACAUCACCAACCUAUCUGAACCUUUCACCAUUCUGAAGAGGUAUCGAAUGAGGUUGAACCCCAACAAAUGUGCCUUCGGCGUAGGCUCUGGCAAAUUCUUAGGUUUCAUGAUAAGCCAACGAGGCAUUGAGGCUAAUCUCGAGAAGAUCAAAGCAAUCCUCGACAUGAAGGAACCGGUAACUUCAAAAGACAUCCAGAGCCUUACUGGCUGAUGUGAUAAAAGUUAAGCACACAAAUUAAACCAUCUUUUGACAAUUGAAGUAUAUGUAUAAGUAGGGAUCAUUCUGGACUGGGGAUUAUGAGGGAUUGCUAAUCUAAUUGAAACUGACUUAAAAACACAAAAAUAAACUUAAAAACACUUAACAAGCCUCACAAGACUCCAAACAAACUUAAAAGACUCAAAACAGCACGAAACAACCAAAUAGACUCAAAACUGACUCUAGGGAAUUAUUUAGAUGAAAAUUGGUUUUAACUUGACCCAAGACACUUAAAACACACAAACCAAAACAGAUUUUAACUAAUCUAACACUUCAAAGUAAAGGGGGAUUGGGUUUUGGACGAAAAUAAAGUAAAACAAACAAAUUAAAGACUAAAACAGAUUUGGACGAAAAUUGGGAAAUUGGAUGGGUGAUGGUCUAGCUAGAAGGUCAUUCUCCACACAUGACACACUUGCAUACAAAUCAAUCUCCAAUUUCUUUUCAAUAAACCAUGAACCUCAACGCCCCAGAUUAACCGUGAAUUGCACUAAUUAACCCUCAGAUUUUCCUAAUUUCAUUGAAUUGGAUGAUUGCAUACAACAACCCAAAUUAUUCUCCACAAGUUCCCUACAUGAAUUGCAUAAUAGAGAUACGAGCAAAGAUCAUUAAGUUAUAUGAAAAUCAUAAGCAUUGACGAGGCACUUGUAACUAUGAAUUGCAUGAAACUUAUGCCAAGAAUUCACUUAACACGAUCGUGACAAGCAACCUUCACUACUUGUGAAUAUAAGUUCAUGACGAUUAGGUGAAAAUCCCUUAUAUUCUAGCAUCAAAUUCAUGCAUGCAAACUAAGUUGGCCACCUUAAUCAACAUACAAGAAUAAGUUUUGAGUAAAACAGUUAAGCGAAUUGCAUUCACAAUUUAUCAAAUCACAAUUGAAAGUAAUCAAUUCAUAUUGCAAGUAUAAUCAUGGUUUCGAAUUCCCCUCUAACUAUAAAGAAAUUAGUUCCUCAUGUUCGCAAUUAGACAAAGAUAACUUGAAUUAAACAUUGAAAACAAAGAUAGAAUACACCUAGAAACACUCCAUAUGGCUCCUUCUUCUCCUUCCUUAGCUGCGGCACAAGAGGAUUGUGGUGGAUGGAUGUAGGUGAUUUUUGGUAGAGGGUGGUGGUUUAAUUGCUGCACAAAGGGUUGUAUUUAUAGGGCUAGGGAAACCCACGAAUUUUUGAAGGAAAAGAAUGUGUAUUUGGCACAAUUCAUGAAGGAAAAGGAAUAGGGUUCACCAAAAUCUGAAGGGAAAAGGACUGCACAAUCCUAAGGGAAAAGGAUUGCAGGUUCUAGGGCUUUUAGAAAGGGUCUAGGCGCCAGAUUUUUAGGUGCUUCUAGAAAAGAUGUUUUAGCACCAAUUUAGGGUUUCUAGAAGGAUAAAGGUUCUAGAAUCUGAAAUAUAUAGUUUAAAUGCAUAAUUAUCCCUUAGAAAUAGCUGAAAUUAAGUCACAAAUUGAUUUGGAUAAGAUAUGAUAAGAUAAGGUUAGGUUAGGCAAGGAUAAGAUAAGAUAAGGUUGGAUAAGGUUUUGGAUAAUGUUCUUUCUUUUGAGCUGAUUUCUUAUCUUCCUUGACUUGAAUUUAUUUCUUCACUCUUUUCAGUACAUUCCUAGCCUCUUGAACUUCAAAUUCGUCCAUCCAUCUUGCUCCAUUCAUAAGCUAUCCAUUUGGUGCCCAAAACUGCCUAAAAAUGCUCCAAAAUGCACUUUCUUGCCAACUUUGUCAUAUGGACCUACAAACACACGAAAAUAGCUUAAAACACUAUAAUAAACACAAACAAACUAUGAAAAUGCAAGAAAACAAGCUAACUAAGUUUCAUAAAUAUGCUCCUUUCACUGGCAAGGUGGCAGCCUUAACUAAGUUCAUCUCUAAGGCCACAGACAGAUGUUCUCCUUUCUUCAAAGCACUUAAAGGAAGUAACAAGUACAUUACAUGGACUGAUGAAUGUGCUGAGGCAUUCAAGAACCUCAAAGACUACAUGAGUAAAGCCCCUAUGCUCUCCAAACCUGAGGUUGGUGACACUCUCAUUAUCUAUCUGUCGGUAUCGGCUUCAGCAGUAAGUUCCGUUCUUAUUCGAAAGGAUGGUAAUGUCGAACGACAUGUCUACUACGCUAGUAAGGCCUUACAAGAUGCAGAGACACGAUACUCGAACAUUGAGAAAUUGCCUCUAGCAUUGGUCAUAUCUGCUUGAAAACUUCAACCUAACUUCCAAGCACACUCCAUCAUCGUGCUUACCAAUCAUCAUCUUCGACAGAGGCAGUUGUCCCAGUUGAGCUUGAGCAAGCAACGUUCCGAGUCCAGAACUACAUGCAAAGCGAAAAUGACAAACAACUUACCCUCAACCUGGAUCUAGUCGAGGAACACUGAAACCGGGCUCACUUGAGGAAUGUCGCCUACAAGCAGUGCAUCUCCAACUACUAUGACUCAAGGGUCAAACCUCGUUCUUUCAAAGUGGGGGACUAGGUAAUAAAGAAAAGAUUACUCUGCGACAGAGUCCCAAGUGAAGGAACACUUAGUCCAAACUGGGAUGGACCGUUUGAAGUUGUUGGCAUCAGUUGCCCUGGCUCCUACAAGCUUAGAAGCUCCGAUGGCAAGACCCUUGGCCAUCCAUGGAACGCUGAUCACUUGAAGUACUAUUACAAGUAAACUCAUAUUGUACAAGUGUUAAGCUUCAGCCGUUCGGCAUCCUAUGUAAUGAAGAUUAUUUGGCAUGAAUUCAACAAAGAGGUGAUUAGACAACUCAAUCCUAAUCCUCUUACAUUCCGAGCAAUGAAACACUCGGGUUCAAAGCUUCAACAUGAAUGCUUCCAACAUGAAACAAAGUCUAAGUAUAUGUCAACAAGACUAUACAAAUAAAUGAACAGCUUCACAGUAUAUUCGAUCAAUUAUACAUUCCAACACAUUCAUACAUAAGCCAACUGUGCUUUGAAAGGAUUCAACAUAUUUUGUGUCAUUCGACACUUGCUACAAUAUGCCUAGACACCUUGCCCUUAUUCUCACCAACCAGGUGAUGAAAGGUGAAGAAGGAACUCAUCUUCAUGCCACCAACCAGGUGAUGAAAUGUACAACCCAUACUCUUCUUCAUGCCACCAACUAGGUGAUGAAAUGUACAACCCGUACUCUAAUAUCAUUUGGCAACUUGCCACUCAUGCCACCAACCAGGUGAAGAAGGAACUCAUCUUCAUGCCACCAACUAGGUGAUUAAAUGUAUAACCCGUACUCUUCUUCAUGCCACCAACCAGGUGAUGAAAUGUACAACCCGUACUCUAAUAUCAUUUGGCAACUUACCACUCAUGCCACCAACCAGGUGAAGAAGGAACUCAUCUUCAUGCCACCAACUAGGUGAUGAAAUGUACAACCCGUAUUCUCCUUCAUGCCACCAACCAGGUGAUGAAAUGUACAACCCGUACUCUAAUAACAUUUGGCAACUUGCCAUUCAUGCCACCAACCAGGUGAUGAAAUGUACAAUCUGUACUCUCUUUCAUGCCACCAACCAGGUGAUGAAAUGUACAACCCGUACGCUAAUAUCAUUUGGCAACUUGCCACUCAUGCCACCAACCAGGUGAAGAAGGAACUCAUCUUCAUGCCACCAACCAGGUGAUGAAAUGUAUAACCUGUACUCUCUUUCAUGCCACCAACCAGGUGAUGAAAUGUACAACCCGUACUCUAAUAUCAUUUGGCAACUUGCCAUUCAUGCCACCAACCAGGGGAAGACGGAACUCACCUUCAUACCACCAACCAAGUGAUGAAAGCAACUCACCAUUCAUUCCACCUACCAGAAGACGAGUGGUACAACUUGUACAUGUGAACUCUUAGCAUUCACAAAUAAUAAAAAACCCUCAAGCUUGACAACUCAACUAGAAGAGCACUUAUGCCCAACAAGAGUUAUAGUCACCAACAAAGUCUUAUUGCAAGCCAACAACUUCAGUGCAUGGCAUACGAAGAUCAAGCUAUUCAGCCCUUUUGCAUUUGCUUCAAACAUUUCCCCUCUGUAACAAUGCAAACACUACAACUCGUAGAAAGCUUCACACACUCUUGAUCAAGAUAGUGUGAAGCAAAACCAAUUUAUGGUGCCAACAAGAGCUUUAUCAAUGGAGGGCAACCACAAUUCUCAAAAGCUUCACAUACUCUUGAUCAAGACAGUGUGAAGCAAAACCAAUUUAUGGUGCCAACAAGAGCUUCAUCAAAGGAGUUCAACCACAAUUCUCAAAAGCUUCACACACUCUUGAUCAAGACAGUGUGAAGCAAAACCAAUUUAUGAAGCCAACAAGAGCUUCAUCAAUAGAGGGCAACCACAAUUCUCAAAAGCUUCACACUCUUGAUCAAGACAGUGUGAAGCAAAACCAAUUUGUGCCAACAACAAGAGCUUCAUCAAUGAAGGGCAACCACAAUUUUCAAAAGCUUCACACACUCUUGAUCAAGACAGUGUGAAGCAAAACCAAUUUAUGGUUCCAACAAGAGUUUCAUCAAAGGAGUUCAACCAUAAUUCUCAAAAGCUUCACACACUCUUGAUCAAGACAGUGUGAAGCAAAACCAAUUUAUGGUGCCAACAAGAGCUUCAUCAAUGGAGGGCAACCACAAUUCUCAAAAGCUUCACAUACUCUUGAUCAAGACAGCGUGAAGCAAAACCAAUUUAUGGUGCCAACAAAAGCUUCAUCAAAUGAGUUCAACCACAAUUCUCAAAAGCUUUACACAUUCUUGAUCAAGACAGUGUGAAGCAAAACCAAUUUAUGGUGUCAACAAAAGCUUCAUCAAUGGAAGGCAACUACAAUUCUCAAACCUUCGAAGCAAAUUCAAGACUGUUCGAAGCAAAUUCAAUUUAUAUGGUUCAUUUAAACCUUCGACUACUACAAGGUGUGGCUUGCAUCACAAUCUCUUGCUCAACAGUGUGGAGGAAAAAUUUGCAUAUGUUGUCUCUCCCACAUUUUCAAAUUCAACAAAGCUUCAUCAAUGGAGGACAACUACAAAUUCUCAAAAGCUUCACACUAUCUUGAUCAAGAUAGUGUGAAGCAAAAUCAAUUCAUGGUACCCAAAAAAAAGCUUCAACUCCAAAGCUUCACCUACAAAGCUUCAACACAAAACCUUCACCAACAAAAGCUUCAUCAAUGGAAGACAACUACAAAAAUGCACCAAAACUGCAUAAAAAACAGCACCAAAAUAGUACAAAAAAACUGCACCAAAACUGCACCAAAACUUCAUAAAACUGCACCAAAAAAAUGCAGCAAAACUGCACCAAAAACUGCACAAAACUGCACCAAAACUGCACAAAAUUGCACCAAAAAAUAAUGCAACAAAACUGCAUAAAAAAAUAGCACAAAAAACUACACCAAAACAGAACCAAAAAACUGCAGAAAACAGAACCAAAAAUCUACACCAAAAGUGCAGCUAACUUGUACCAAACUUGUACCAAAACUGCAACAAAUGACAACUACUAAAAUUGAGACAACAUCCAAUGCAUCAAAGGGUUUAAACUUUAAAUCCUUAUGCAUCACAUCUACUAAAAUUGAACUUGAUCACCAAUCACAAUACUUUACAACCCAAUUGAAAGGUUAAGUUUGCCAUAAUACAAACCUAUAAGUUAUAACCUAGUUGAAAAGUUUAAAAUAUAAGUUAUAUAACAUUUAUUUAUUAUAUGGUGCGGUUUUGAAAACCCAAAACCGAAACCAAACCGUUUUGUGUGCCGUGGUUUGGUUUUGAAAUCGAAACUGUUUCAAAACCGUAAAACCAAACCGUUUGGUGCGGUUUGAUUCGAUUUGUGUUUCGGUUUCGGUUUUCGGUUCCAAGUGCCCACCCCUAAUGAGCAUAAUAUAUACAGAUAUUUAAAGAACGAUGAAGUUUGAAUCAAAGGUGUAUAAGGGGCUGUGAAAAUGAUGGCAUUCAAACAAAACUCUGUAUGAAAGUAAAGGAAUAGAAAAAGAGAAAUAUGACACAUACCAUUUGUUUGGUGUUAACCAAUGUGAUUCAAGAAUGUCCAUUAAACCGUAAAUGACAAUAGAAACUGAGGAUCAGAAAGAUCAGACAAAAUCUCAUAUUUAAAAUCAAAGAUCAAAGCUGCCUAAAUACCAAACUAUUCAUUAAAAAGACUUAAAACUUAAAAAUUAGAUGAGUACAUCACUGAGUUUUGUAAGAUCAUCUAUGUUGAGAAAACGUUUAGAACUAAAUUUAUUAAAGUAACUGAUAUAUUGUGAUAGAGCAUGAGAGAAACAACAUAAAUAUCUUAGCAGAAUGAGUGGAUAUCAAGGAGAAUUAGAUUUAUUCAAUUUCGAUACAAAGAAAAUGAAUUAAUGCAAGAACAACAUUUAUGCACAUUGAGAAUGAAAUUAACUAAUUAACUUACUAACCCCUACUGUAAAUUUCACACCUAUGCUAAAACGGAUUUUGUAACCAAUAUCCCAAAAAUGGGGCAAAGGGAAAGAAAAAAAACCUUUGUAUGGUAUACUGCAGUGUUAUCUAUGUAACCAAACUCAACCCAGCAACCUCCUUGUAAACUUGGAAAUCUGUUUACAGAUUUUAUGGCUGUAGAAGAAAUUAUAUCCUGCAGCAUUAAUAUCAUUAAGACUUAAGUAUUUUUCCCAAGUGAAUACACAUGAAAAGUAUCAAAGAGAGAAAGAAGAAAAAAUUAUCAAAAUAAGAACUACACCCGUGUCCCAUAAUUUGGGCAGAUAGAUAUUUUGCUACCGAGGCAAAAUUCUCAAUAACCCAAGCAUCAGCCUAUCAAAUUAAGAAAUAUUCAUAAGGGAAAAAGUAAGCUUAAACAGGAUUUCAUAUGUAUGAACUCACUUUUGACGAUUAAUUAUUCAUCCUAUUACCAAAUAGUUAUUGGAAAUGGUUUAAGUUGUAAAACCUGACUCUUAUCAAAUAGCUGGGAUUAAAUCUCAAGAAAAUUCAUUCCCAGAAGUCAUUUCUACGCAAGAGUUGUUUCCAUGCUUUUUCACCUGGGUUUUCAUUUCGAGUUCAAUUUUUUAAGUAAAAAUUUAUACCACCCGCAUCUACAAUGGUAAAAACUGAGAAGGUAGGUACACAUCUUAAUCAAAGUGAAAAAUGAUGUCUAAGGAUUAUAUGUACCAUAUUUCAGCUAAUGAUACAACAACCUCUGAAAUCCGUGUUGCAAAUUUGGCUAUUCAAAAGCCUAUGAAUUUAUAGCCUAAAUCAGCAUCACACUAUUAAAUCACGUUAUUAAAUCGGAAUAGGAACAUUGAAAAACAUAUGAACUGAUGCCCAAGUUUGAUUAAUCCAACUUUAAUAGCUACCUAAUUCAACAUUAAGAGUUGAUAAGACAGUACAUAAAUCCCAAAUCACAAACGCCCCAAAUUUGAACAAAACAAAGAUGCCAGAUAUGGAACCCAAAGAACUCAUCAGGAAGCCCUGGCUUUCCUGGGUAAGAAAUUCUUCAAAUCAAAGCAAAAAACCUAAAGAUGGUUACCUGAAUUCAAUAAAAAUUAAAAUAUAAUUACUCUUAAGCAUGCUUUUUUUUUUUUGAAUAAAAAAAACUUGAAAAUAUCCCAAACAGUUUCUUACACCUCAUGUAUUCAAUAGAGCUUGAAUUUCUAAAGGGACAACUUGAAAUCAUAUAUGUAAGAGUUGUGUUCCCUCUGGCAGAUAAAACUGAGAAAGACAAAUCUUUCCAAAAUCCUAAUAACUUUACAUAUUAUCAAUUUCUCAACAAAAUACAUUGGUUCCAACACUAACAACAUAAAAACUUUUAAAAUUGCAAUCUAAACUAAUCUUUUCUCUCUUCCUCUCCCUGUCUGUAUUCCCUCUAUCACAUAAAAGGUAGAAACACAAAGCUUUCUAAAAUUCCAACUACUCCUCUCAGUUCUUCCCAAAAAAUACAAAUCCAUUUUAAUCCAACAAUUAUCAGUGCAUCUCCAAAUUGGAAAAAACCAGGACAGAAAACGUACCCGAAAAAAGGACUUUCCGAGCAGCUGAAGACAGCCCACCUAAUGGGGGCAAAAAUGACAUUUAACUGUACAAAGCAAUUCAGCAGCACCUAAACCCCAAACAAAUCAAGGGCAUUUUCGCCCUUUUACUAUUGCUGAACAGUGCUAAAACUCAACUGAGUUUUAGUAUACAUAAUUUGUUGGGUUCGUUUGUGGUGACGAGGGGAUCAAAUAAAAUUAAGCAUCUUGUAUAAAGUCUAAUUUGUUGGUUGAUGAGUAGAUACUUUUACAUUGGUGUCUUCAUCCAUCUCUCAACAAACCAAUCUGAAAUUACCAAAAUGUUUUCCUUUGAUCUAAAAAUUCUACUCACGGUAGCAUCCUCCUUGUUCUCAGCCUAUACCUCCGUUGAAGGAUCCAUGGUGUUGGUCCGUCCCAUGGCCAAAAAGCUCAUCCCCGUCGUCCGCUCAUACGUCUACUCAAAACUCAAAUCCCUUUUCACUCCACUCUCCUUUAACCUCACUUUCAUCAUUGACGAGCUCUACGGAGUGGCACGCAACCAGGUCUAUGAUACCGCUAAGGUCUACCUCCAAACCAUUGGCACCAGUCUUAGCAUUCAACGCCUACGAGUCGAAAAAACGCAUCGCCAAUAGACCAUCUGAUUUUCCAUCGACAAAGACGAAGAACUCACCAACACUUUCGAUAAUGUUAAGCUCAGGUGGCGCUUUAAUGCCAUGGAAACCAAGAAGGGAAGGAAUGAGUACUCCAGGGAAAGUUCGAAGCACCAAUUCUUUGAGCUGACAUUUCACCAAAAACACAAAGACAUAGUUAUGAACGCUUUCUUGCCUUACAUGCUUGCUCGGGCAAAUGCCAUUAAAGAAGAAGAGAAGGUUGUGAAGCUUUAUUCUCGUCAUUUAUGUUCGUAUGAUGACGGCAACAACAGUACUUGGGGAUUGAUAAACCUAGAGCAUCCUGCUACUUUUGAGACGAUGGCGAUGGACCCUGAGCUCAAGAAAAUGAUUGCAGAGGAUUUGGACAGGUUUGUGAGGAGCAGGGAGUUUUAUAAGAAGGUGGGGAAGGCUUGGAAAAAGGCUACUUGUUGUAUGGUCCUCUCGACACUAGAAAUCAAGCUUGAUCGUAGCCAUGGCUAAUUAUCUUAAGUUUGAUGUGUAUGAUUUAAGGCUUACUAAUCUUUCCAGUGACUAUAAAUUGAAGAGGGUGUUGUUGUCUACUACAAAUCGUUCGAUUUUGGUGAUUGAGGAUAUCGAUUGUUGCAGUGUUGAUAUACAAAAUCGGCAACCAGAGAAAUAAAAUCAAACUUCUAACACCAAGGUUUUGCUUCAAUUCAUUCUGUUUUUUGUUACAAAUGAUAUUUAUGUAAAUACCAAGAUGCUAUACAACAUACGUCAUUUGAUCCAAAAGCAAAAGUGGCAAUUCUGGAUGAGGCGCCACAAACAGGUCAGGCUUAAACAUUAUCUCAUUCUGUAUAUAUGCCAAAAUCAUUUUGUGUUCAUGAACCAUUAUCUAAUUCUUAUUCAAUACACAAAUAAUAAAUAUACAAAUCUGUUAACCUUGAGUUGACUCUCGACAUGUGCUCGGAAGAGGACUCUUCCAACAUCCUGAAAUCAUGUCAAGAGUUAAAAAGGAGCAAGGAAAAACUAAGGUAAGAGCUCUGUAAGUCAAUUCAGAGCACAUAAAAAUUUAAAUUCUUUAAUAAAAAACCCAAAGAGAAAAGCUGAAAUUAUAUACCUCAAGCACAAACAGCUUGGAAGCCUACACACAAUAGCCCCAAAAAAUGAAGACCACCGUUUCUUGAAAAUAAAAAGGGAACCAAAUCAUAAAACAAUAAAUUUUAAUUCAUUUACAAAUCCCAAACUACAAAAGCCCCAGAUUUAAACAAAAGAAACCACCCAUUUCACAUCUCGAAGAACUCACCAAUGAACCCUAGAAAUUCCUUCAAAUCAAAUCCAAAAACUGAUCAUGAGUACCUGAAUUGAAUAAAAAUUAAAAUACAAUCAAUUAACUGUUAACCAUUUUUUUCCCCAAUAAAAAAAAAGUAAAAAAAAAACCUUCAAAACACCCCAAACGAUCCCAAAUUCUCAGAUCCGUUCAAAGAAACUUACCAUGAAAUCACAGCAACUUCACAAAUCCUCUUCAUAUCUGCACCAAAAAUAACGAAAAAGAAGUGCAAUCAGCCCAAGAAACAAAAGAUUAGUAGAAACAAACCAAGAAAAUCAAGUAUGGGAGAAAAAUUAACCAUCAUCAUUUCUCCUUUUUUUAAUUUUCACACAAAAAAUUGAACCAAAAACGAAAGAGCACCCAAAUAUAACAAUUCCUUUAUUGCAAAGAGCUGAUAACUCAUACAACUCUCAGACUAAGGCAGGAAAUUAGUAUUAAAACUAACGAUUGAAUUACAAAGUGAAGAGAGGAGGUAAGUUCUCCUGAGUUGUACGAAUGAAGUAGCCAUUAUCCAGUACCAACGAAGAAAGAUGAAGACAGAAAACAGAACGGCAGACGAUGGAACCCGAGGUAUGCGAGAGAGGAAAGAGGAAAGCCAAAGAAAUGCGCAGAACGAUUAUGCUUCCCGUUUGACAGCAAAACAAAAGUGGCAAAGUUGAAAUAAUAACAAAAAAAGCAGGGCAAAACUGGGAGCACACUGUUAAUGAACAGUAACUUGUGUGUUGAGUUUUAGUAUAUGUAUAAUUUGUUGGGUUCGUUUGUGGUGACAAGGGGAUCAAAUAAAAUUAAGCAUCUUGUAUAAAGUCUAAUUUGUUGGUUGAUGAGAGAUACUUUUACAUUGGUGUCUUCAUCCAUCUCUCAACAAACCAAUCUGAAAUUACCAAAAUGUUUUCCUUUGAUCCAAAAAUUCUACUCACGGUAGCAUCCUCCUUGUUCUUAGCCUAUACCUUCGUUGCAGGAUCCAUGGUGUUGGUCCGUCCCAUGGCUAAAAAGCUCAUCCCCGCCGUCCGCUCAUACAGCUACUCAAAACUCAAAUCCCUUUUCACUUCACUCUCCUCUAACCUCACUUUCAUCAUUGACGAGCUCUACGGAGAGGCAUGCAACCAGGUCUAUGAUGUCGCUGAGGUCUACCUCUAAACCAUUGGCACCAGUCCCGGCACUCAACGCCUCCGAGUCGGAAAAACACAUCGCCAAUAAACCAUCUGAUUUUCCAUCAACAAAGACGAAGAACUCACAACACUUUCAAUAAUGUUAAGCUCAGGUGGCGCUUUAAUGUCAUGGAAACCAAGAAGGGAAGGUAGGAGUACUCCAGGGAAAGUUCAAAGAACCAGUUUUUUGAGCUGACAUUUCACCAAAAACACAAAGACAUAGUGAUGGACACCUUCUUGCCUUACAUGCUUGCUCGGGCAAAUGCCAUUAAAGAAGAGGAGAAGGUUGUGAAGCUUUAUUCUCGUCAUUUAUGUUCGUAUGAUGAUGGCAACAAUAGUACUUGGGGAUUGAUAUACCUAGAGCACCCUUCUACUUUUGAGACGAUGGCGAUGGACCAUAAGCUCAAGAAAAUGAUUGCAGAGGAUUUGGACAGGUUUGUGAGGAGCAGGGAGUUUUACAAGAAGGUGGGGAAGGCUUGGAAAAAGGCUACUUGUUGUAUGGUCCUCCUGGCACUGGAAAUUGAGUUUGAUCACAUCCAUGGCUAAUUAUCUUAAGUUUGAUGUGUAUGAUUUGGGGCUUAUUAAUCUUUCCACUGACUAUAAAUUGAAGAGGGUGUUGUUGUGUACUAUAAAUCGUUCGAUUUUGGUGAUUGAGGAUAUCGAUUGCUGCAGUGUUGAUAUACAAAAUCGGCAAUCAGAGAAACAAAAUCAAACAUCUAACACCAAGGUUUUGCUUCAAUUCCUUCUGUUUUUUGUUACAAAUGAUAUUCUUAGUUAUUUUUUUUCUUUUAACGAGCAUUGACAUAUCACGUGGUGUUAUAAUGAUCGCAGUUGGUGUCACUCUCGGGCUUAUUGAACUUUAUAGAUGGUUUGUUAUCGAGCUUUGGCGACGAGAGAAUUCUUGUAUUCACCACCAACAAGAAGGAUCGACUUGACCCUGCAUUGCUGCGUCUUAGUCGAAUGGAUGUGCACAUACACAUGUUAUAUUGCACGAUAAGCGAGUUCAGGCUUUUAGCCUCUAACUACCUUGCCUUGUCCAGGUAAACCCUUUUGCCAUUAACUUACGCCUUGUACAUGUCUAUUGCACGACAAGCGGGUUCAGGCUUUCAACUUGCAUUGCUUCUGUCCAUUUUGGAUCUUUCAAGGCUCCUUCCACUCUGAUGGGUAUUUUGAAGAUUUCCAUCUGUUGAACAAAUGCACAGUAUUGCGGUGAAAGUCGAUGAGUGACAUAAUUGGCAACGGAGUAGAUGAUUUUCUGCAUUCGGCCUACUUGGGUCAUCAUUAAUGUCCACCAGAUUUUGCCUGAGGCUUGAAUCAUUAUUCACUUCAUUGGGCCCACUUGGGCUCUUAGCAAUAUCAUAUUUUUUUGCCCUUUUGGGCUGGCAAAUUCUAGGCAUUUACGUCGCCCACUAGUGGUGGUGCCAUUUGGACUAUGACUGUCACGGUCAAGCAACCCAUUUAGGGAAUGUACACUAUCUUCUACGCUUAAUUCUUCAUUAUACCGAUCAUCGAUUAAGGUUUGCUCCCCCUGAGGAGUAUGGUUGGGAGGAAAAAAUAACUCGUCUUCAGAAAAGGUAACAUCCAUGGUCAUAUACGUAUGUCAAGUGGAUGGAUGAUAACAGCAAUAGCCCUUUUGUUGAGGACUAAAUCCAAGGAACAUGCACCGCACCGCACAUCGAUCAAGUUUGCUUUGUUGAUUUUUGUGAAGGUGAAUGUAUGCCACACAACCAAAAACUCGUGGUUCUAGGUGAAGGGUGGACGAGAGCGAAUCAUGAUCGGCAAGCAUGGCCAAAGGUGUUCUAAAAGAGAGUACACGCAAUAGCAUCCGGUUCAUGAGAUAAAUAGCAUAGGUUACUGCAUCUGCCCAAUAUGUCUUGGGUGCAUAACCACCAAUAAGAAGGGCACAUGUAAUCUCAAGGAUGUGCCAAUUUUUUCGUUCAGCAAAGCCAUUUUGCUGUGGAGUCUGAGGGCAUGUAGUUUCAUGGAGAAUACCCGUUUCUGUGAAAAAACUGAGAAAAAUCCUGAUUCAUAUACUCACCACCAUUGUUUGACCGAAGCACUUUAAUAGGGAGUGAAUUGAGUAUUGACCAUGUGAUAAAACUUUUGAAGAUUUCACCCGCAUCGCUUUUAUUUUUCAUGAGGUGCAACCAAGUCAUUCUAGUGCAGUCAUCAACAAAGGUUACAAACCAAUGCACACCAUGCUAAGUAGUAACCAGAGAUGGCCCCCACACAUCCGAAUGAAUUAACUCAAAAGGAAUCGUUCUUUUAUUCAUACUCAGAGAAUAAAAAGCUCGAUGGCUUUUAGCUAAUGUGCAAACAUUACACUUUAACGAAGAAUAAAAAAUAUUCCUAAAUAAUAACGGAAGUAAUUUUUUCAAAUAACCAAAUGAGGCAUGACUUAGCGAUGAUGCCAUAACUGGACAGUCUUCAACUUUUCAUUGUCAUGACCUUGAACUUGAUGAACACAGCCCUGUCCAAGAUCAUCAACAUGGUCUAACCCUCUUCUCUUAGUAUCACGCCGCCCAAUGAUCACCUGAGUCUGGAUAUUCUGAAGUAAACAUAAAGACAAAAACAUUACCACAACACAAUUUAAUUGCUUGGUGACUUGUCCCACACACUGUUCUAAAAAUCCUCGACUAUCGCCCCCUAAGCGCUAGGCGGGUGGCCACCACCCCGAUUAAUGCCUAGGUGUUUGGAAAUUAAGAAAAAUGCACCUAGGCACCAGCUUAGGAUGCUACUCGCUUAGACAGAAAAUAGAUAACUUCAAUUUUGCAUAUUAUUUUUUUGGGUUAAUCUCUGUUUACUACUCUGAAGUUUCGUGAUUUUCAACAUUUGGUACAUGAAGUUUUUUUCAUCUCAGAGUCAUACCUCAAGUCUUAAUUUUGGGACAGUUUCAUACAUCCGUUAAGUUUUUCGUUAGAAAUUCUGUUAACUAAUGACGUGACACCCACAUGGACAAUAAUUGAGCGCCACAUGUCAAUAUGGGCCUACUUCAAUAUUAAAAAAUUAAAAAAAAUACAAAAAAAACCUAACCUUCCCUCACCCCCCGCACCCUUUCCCUCUUUAUCUUUUUUCCCUAGCCUUCACCAUUAUUGUGCUGCUUGCAGGUUGAGUUGGAGAUCUGAGAUUUGGUGCAUAUCAAGAAAGCACAACAGCACGAGGACAGACAGCAAGAUGCAGUGCAGCAGUAGGCAGAAGCACAGCGGCAAAGCACGACAAAAAUUUGUGCAGGAGUAGGGCUUAGGAAAAUCUGUGCAGCGGCGUUCCAUGGCAAGAUAUGAGAGAUGGCUGUGCAAUUAGGGUCUGUGCAAUUUAUAGACCUAAGAGAAUCAAAUUGAAGGAAGUAUGUCAAAGGGAAUCGAGGAAUUCAGAAGGGAAAGAAAGCAAAAUUGAAGGAAAUCAUAAAGGAAAAUCAAAAGGCAAAAUUGAUGGUGGCGUGAUGAAAAGCAAAACAACUUGGGAUGCCUGCACGUGGUCACUCCAAAGAAGAUCAGCUCCUUUUUAAGUGUGAGGGAAGAAAUCCUCAUAGAAGUCUAACCUAAAUCCCAGCACCUCACCCAAAUCCCACCCCACCCAAAUCCCAGCACCUCUCAAUUUUCCAUCAAUUUGACCCAUUUGGGACUGGGAGCCAAAUUGGACUAGGAGUUGGAAUUAGAGGUUUCAGGGGAAAUGGGAAAGACCCAGAUGGCAAUCUGAUUCACCAUUGGAGAUAGAACCGGAUAUGGGUAUUUGCACAGUGUAGAGCUCAGAUUCGUUCACAAUCAAGCUAUUGCAGAAGAAGGCUUGAGGUUUGGACUUGCAGGCGACAACGUUGGCCAACGUCCACACAUUCUGGCAGAAGCUAGUGACCUCGGCUAGGAUCAGAAGGGAGAGAAUGGCAGUUGCGCUAUGCGAGGCGACGCAUCGGCAUGUGAGGAAGAUGAAGAAAGUGAUGAGGACGACGGCGGGGGUGCUGUGGGCGAGGAGAACAGAGGCAUGGAAUUGGAGAAGAGAGAACGGAGAAGGGAGGGAAGGGUGAGGGUUGCAAAAGAAAGAAAUGAGGGAGAGGGUGCGGGGGUGAGGGACAAGUGGGAAAUUUUUUAUUUUUUUUUAAUAUUGAAGUGGACUCAUAUUGACACCUGGCGCUCAAUUAUUGUCCACGUGGGCACCAAGUCAUCAAUUAACAGAAUUUCUAACGGAAAACUUAACGGAUGUAUGAAACUGUCCCAAAAUUAAGACUUGAGGUAUGACUCUGGGAUGAAAAAAACUUCAUGUACCAAAUGUUGAAAACCACGAAACUUCAAGGUAGUAAACAGAGAUUAACCCUAUUUUUUUUCAAUAAAUUGUAAGAAACUUGUUGAAUACUUAAAUGAACACACAUUAUAUGCUUGUUCCCCAUGUUUUCAUUAUGUUCCAAUACUUAAUAAUAUAUAUGUGAAUUGAUUUUGUAGUUUAUGAUGAAAUUAUAUAUUUUUUAAAUAUAAACAAACACUUAUUUACACGAAAUAUAAUAUAUUUAUUUAAAUCAGCCUAGUCUGCCUAGGCCCCCGCCUAGCCGCCCAACUACUGCUUAGCGUCUUUUAGAACUUUGGUCCCACAGAUAAUAAAUGGCUAUAAAAUAUAGGGACGAGUAAACUGUUGUGUAAAGAGAGAGUAGGAGUGAAUGCAAUUGAACCUGCCCCUGUGGCCGGGGCAACACUUCCAUUUGUUGUGAGAAUACUAUCCCGUGAGGGUGUUGUUGUGGAAUUUAAAAGAGUAUGGUCAAAAGUCAUGUGAUUAGUAGCACCGGAGUCAAUAAUCUAACCUGUAUUGGGAUUACCUGGAUUUUCGGUUUGUUAUUACAAGGAAAUUAAAUUUAAUAGGGAUAGCUGUUAGGCCAAGUUGUUUAGGUCCAAUUCUACAAUCUGCUUAAAGUCUGCAGAUGGGCCCAAGGUGUUUCCUUCACUGACGUCAGCGUUGUUGCUAGUGCCUCCACUUGAUUGCUGCCCUACCUGACUUUGGGCUUUAGGCUCAGCCAGCCCAACACGGUGAAUAGAAGUACCUGGUCCACUGGAAAUCAGGGUCGUAAGCCCAGGGCCAAAGUCUGCCACCUUGGCUUUCGCGGCUCUUCUAUUCGGUUUUCCCUGACCUUGUUUUUUUCUACGCUCUAGGAACCACUCCCGGUAGCCGUGAAUUUCAAAGCACGUCUCUUUUUUAUGGUGAGUUCCAUUGCAGUGUAUACAUCGAAGUUUGUCUUUUUCUACGUCCUCUAAUUCACGUAGAGAACGUGAUGGCCCAAAUAAAGGUUUGUUGAUCAUGGUCAUAGAUAGGCCAUUAUCACUUUCCUUUCCUCCAAGCAUGGUGGUUUUUCUUUGUGCUUUACGCCGAAUGGUGUUAAAGCACUAUUCUAUUCCAGGGAUAGGCUUCAUUCAAAAGAGAGUGUUGGGAACUGCAUCCAAUGAGUCAUCUAGUCCUACAAGAAAAUCAUACACCCUAUCUUUUUGAAGAUCCUCUUUUCUGCUUCUCAAAUCAGUAACAUAUAUCAUUCUAUUUGGACGUCGUUUGUCUAACUCUUGCCACAUGCCUUUUAGUUAUGCGAAGUAUAGAUUUAUUAGGCAUCCAUUCUGUUUUAUCCUUGUUGCUUUGCAUCUCAACUCGUAAUUCUGAGAUUUGUCAGCCCAAUCAUAGAACAUAUGAGUAACGUUUUCCCAAAUAUUAUGAGCAGUCAAUAAGUUGAUAAAUAGCCCUAUAAGAUGCAGCUCCAUGGUUUUCAGUAACCAACCCUGCACGAUAGCAUCCUCUGUAUGCCAUUAGAAAAACCAGGAUCGGUUUCUUCCACAGCCGAAAUCUUCCCAUUGAGAUAUCCCAUCUUGUGUCAAACCUGCAGCAUGAACCUCCAUUAUCUUUGACCAAAUUUUGUAGUUUGAAUCCCUUAACUUGAAUCCAAAAGGCAAAGCACCUAGAUUGGACACUGGAGCUGGACCUACAAUGGGAAACCCAACUUCUUGUUCAUCCAUUUAGAGCGGCAUGAUAAUUGUACUUUUGUGGUUUUGUUCUAUGGUAUGGAAGUCUGGCCAAAGCUGCGAUGCCUUUCAUCUUUGUAGAAACAAUGUCCAGUCUUUUCUAUCUUUUUUGUCUGAAACUUGGCACAAUGAAUUUAUUUCAGUCUCUUGUUUUAAGACCUACCUUGUUUUCUUUGAUCAAAAUUGUUGUGGUUUUGUUUUGUUGUGGACGACUUGGGUUUAGAGGAAGAGAUAGGCCGAAACCUCUCUGAUACCAAGAUAAAAUUGUAGUUUAGAGUUCUAAUAAUUCUUGUUAUUCUUCUCCCGUUGGGAGGUAAUAUAUAUAUAACUCCAAAACUUGUGAUACAAGGAAUUUUAAAGGAAAUACAACCAAAGUAGGAAACACACCUAUAUUCCUAACCCUCCUAGGAUGUUGAUUCUCGUCAACAUCAUGAUGACAAUCGACGUCGCUUAUGUGGGGAGAUUGAAGGGUUGAUAGAGAGCACAGAGGUGACUCCUGCUGAGGUUGCUGAGAGCUCAUGAAGAGCAAUGAUGCUGAAGUUGCUCUUCAAGGACUUGCCAAUUUUCUCAUAGGAAAGAAAGUGAGACUGGGAGUAAUGGAAUAAUGGAUGAAGGGAUUAAGAGCAUGUGUAGAACUGUUUUUAGAAUGGUUAAAAGUUCUUUUUUUUUUUGGAUAAUCUGACACGUCCCGACCCCGAUAUUCCUUGAAUACUCGAAUAGGCACGUGCUGGCCUACACCCAAGGGUGACGAAAGCCAUUUAUUGAAUACAAGAGUAAUGAUUAGGAGGAAAUAUACAUGAAUAAUCAUUAGAAUAUAAAGGUAAUAAACAAAGUUUAAGAAAAUGUCUAGAGUGCACAGAAUACGUUCUAAUUUAAGAUCACAAAAGGAAAGAUCAUUACAAGAUAGCACACAAGUGAAUGAUAGACUGUUACUGGUAGGGGAAUGCCUCGUACAUUGUGUCGUAGUCCUAUUUUCUAAGACCUGAAUGGGGGCGCAAAACAAAGGUGAGUGGACCAAGUUCAUAUAUACAAUAAUAAUAAAAUAGUUAUCAAGAUACUAACCCCCACAGUUUAUAUAAAGAAAACUACUAGCAUAAUAAGUGAUAUGUUUACUGAAAAACCCUAGCAUGCCAAAAACAUCUCAAAAGACAUAUCGCGGAAAUCAAAAUAUCAAUCGUCUCACAGAUUGUCUCGUAAGGGCGGUGUGCUACCAGUAAGAUCACUGAAUAAAUAUAACUCUCGGCCCUAUGCCAGCACCGUGGUCUCUGCGCCCGUAGCCAGAGAUUAUCAACUCCCGACCCAAUGGCUGCUUCGUGUCCCUCAGCCCGUAGCUAGGGAAUAUUUCUUCCGGCCUAACUGCCAACACCAUAUCCUCCCCUCAGGCAGCAUAGUGUCCACUAGUACGCACAAAUUGUUACGCCUCUCAAAUAUAACUACUUCAUAGUAUAAAGUCAUCCAUCGUCUAUACUAUAAAGAGGGGUUUUGAAAACAUGUUCUAGCAUCCUAUCGUCAUCCAUCAGAUAGUUUACCAAUUCAUGGUUUUUAUAGAAAAUACGAUAUAUCAAACUAUAGCUCAAUAUAGGCCAACAAUUAAUUUCUUACAAAAUAACGAGAUGAUAACCAACAUUUCAAUAAACAUGCUUAACAUAAAUUCAGUUCAUAAACUCGUAAGACAUGCAUUUCAUUUAUGCAAAAAAACUAUAAAAUUAUGCAAAUUUUAGAAGGGGUCCACUCACAGAUACUCCGUAGCAGCAGAGUGGUGCGGAAAAGAAUUAAGGAAAUCCCCAUUAGCAACUUCACCUAAGCACAAAAAUGUACAAUUUAUCAAACUAUGCCCAAACGAUAGAAUUCCAUGAACUAGACGCCAAAAAAGGACUCAGAACAUUGAAAUUGGCCUAGGAGAGAUUUUGGGUUUUGGGUCCUAAGGUUUUUAGUUAAAAAGGGUUAGGGUGAAAAUGGGUGAUUUGGGCUUAAACUCAAACCCACACACACACACACACACACACACACAACACAACACACGCACACACAUACGUGCACCACACACACUCACACAUGCUUACACACACACACACUCACACGGACACACACACACACACACCAUACACGUACACACCCACACACAUGCACAGCACGGCCCGCAGGCCAAGUAAUAAAAAAGGGAUGGGUUUAAGGCCCUAGUUAAAAGGAGGUGGCCAAAGGCCCUAAUGUAUCUUGGGUUUCUAAAUAGAAAAUAACUAAAAUUAAAAAGUGUGUGGGCCAGGGUAUUGGACUGGUCUAAAACGGGCUAAGGCCCGUUGGUGCUUUGAACGGCCUGAAGGCCUGCUUUGCAAAACGGGAAAGGACGCCGAAGCUGCUACAGCUCUGGCUGACGACGUUCAAGUAAACCAACGUCCAAACCAUGUAGCAAAAUGAAGAGGAAGAGAGUGGAGUAUUUUCAUACCCUUGCUUCACCGUGAACGACUGUGAGUGUUCGGAAAAACCCUCAAAGGUCACGAGUUCGCUGGAAAGUUUGGGUGAGCCUCCCCCACGUCAUUCCCGUUCUCAAAACCUUGGAAGAACAAUGUAGAUUUCAACACACAACGCCCAACAACAUCAAUGGCGAUUUCAAAAGGAAUUCAAACUUACCUAGCCGAAAAAAAAUAAAUGAAGAAAUCCGUCGGAGGUCUUUUCUCGGGAUUCCCCGAUCUCGUUGCGACAGAGAGAGAGAAAGAGAUGGCGCAAGGAAGAUGAUGAUGAUGAUGAUGGUUUACACCAGGAGCUACAUGCAGGUUUGUUUGGUUGGUCACGGUGCAGAGAAAGAAAAGGAGAGAUGAGAGGGAGGGCUUGAGAAGAGAGAAAAGAGAAGAGAGCUAGGGAGCUGCUACUUGGCAGUUUAGGAGAAAUAAGGAUUCUAGAUCAAAGGUUAGGAUUAAAUGAGAUAAAAGAUUAAAUUGAUAGACUUAAACAUGUUUCAGGGAGGAAUAUAGAAAUAUAAAUAAAAAUGUGGGGGUGGGUGUAACAUAAUCAGAAAGAAAUUCUUACCAUGUUUAUUAGAAAAACUUAAGACAUUUACUUGGAAUUUUAAACAAAAUUUCAGCAUGUUUAUGGUAAAAGUGCUACUACGAUAAAUGCACCCUUCUUCGUUACCAAGCUCGGAAUGUUAUAAACUUCUUUAAAAUCCUAAUUGAAUACAUCCGGAUUUCUAAGGAUUUUAAUAAACUAUCUUAACAUUCUAAUUGAAUACACCUUGAAUUUGAGAGAAUCACUUAAAAUCUUGAUUGAAUACCCCUAGAUUCAUUAAAAGAAUUAAAAUCCCUCAAAAUUUCAAUUGAAUACACUCCUUUAAAAUGAUCGUCAAAAUAAGAAUAUCUCAGUUAGGGGGAGACAUCUGAAGACAAUGGAUGAUCAAAGUCUAAGAAGGGCAUUAGCAAGAUGAGUAGUGGCUUAUAUUGCAUAGGUUGAAAGAACGUUUGUUUAUAAGAGUUUUUGCAAGAAACAUUUUCAGUAGAAGUAUAUAUUAAAAUUUUAUAAUCUAAGUGUUUUCUAAUGAAACUUUUAGAAAUGCCUUAUCGAAGAAAGCACUUUUAUAAAUCACAAACAUUUAAAAAAAAAAAUUACCGACUAUUGCCGAAAACGCUUUUAAUUGUCAUAAAACGCUUUUAGCCUUUUCAAAAAUAAUCUCAAAGAAACAAAAUGAAAUAAUUUCUUUAAAAUGGGUACGAGUGUUUCGAGAAAUCGAGUGCUCUGAUUGAAUGAAAACAGUACUAUUUGGGCCUAUGCCCCAUCACCAAUUGUCACCCAAACACGGAGCCCGUUUGAUUGAUAGUCUUCGUCUCCAGACCCAAAACCUCCACUCAAUGGUGGUUCGCGCUUGAAUUGAACCCUUUCCUCCGCGAAAUCCUGAAAAGCAGCGAUUGCAUCUACUCUGUAUUUCCAGAUCUGCAAUCAUCCAUAUAUUACUGAAGAACAAUACAAUCCAAACUCCAAAUCCGAAAAGUUUUCAAUUUCCAGGAAACAUGGAUCCCGAUUCAGUGAAGUCCACUCUCCAAAAUCUAGCAUUCGGAAAUGUAAUGGCCGCCGCAGCCCGUAAUUACCAAAAGGAACUGCUUUCCAACGAGAAGGUGGCCGCCACGAGCUCCUCCAACCAAGAAGUCGACCUCGACGAGUUGAUGGAUGUAAGUUCUGGGUUCGAUUCCAUUCGAUUUGAUUCAAUUCUGCAUCUUUCAUGUGCAUUUCAAAUUCCCAAUUCGCAAACGAUGGUUUGUUUGAUUAUUUUGUGAUGAGUAGGAUCCGGAGCUUGAAAAACUGCACGCGGAUCGGAUUAAUGCUUUAAAGGUUCAAUAUUUUUCGUGUUUGAUUGAUUUGCGGAUGGGGGGUUUCUUGGAUUUGUGGGUUUGUUUGGAAGGUUUGGUUUGAAUUUUUGAAAUUUUGAUCUUGUUUGAAUAGAAAGAAGCUGAGAAGCGAGAAGCUUUGAAGAGGAAAGGGCAUGGAGAGUACAGGGAUAUAACUGAGGGGGAUUUUUUAGGUGAAGUUACCGGAACUGAAAAGGUCAUCUGCCAUUUUUAUCACCGGGAGUUCUAUAGAUGCAAGUAAGUGCAUUUUGGUCUAGAAAAUUUAGACAUGGAUUAGUGAGUUUGUUUUGAACUUACGUUGCUUGGUUAUUUCUAGGAUAAUGGAUAAGCAUUUGAAGACGCUUGCUUCGAAGCAUGUUGAUUCUAAGUUCAUCAAGCUGGAUGCUGAGGUUGCUGUGAACUUCACUUCCUGUUUUGUGUUUUAGUUGGUGCAACUUUUCGUGUUUACUUGGAUUGAGCUUACUUGUUUGCAACCUUCCGUUUUUGGUCCUUUAGUUAGGUUUAGGGUUUAGAAUUGGGAAUUGAUUAUUUGAUGAUGAACUGCAGAAUGCGCCCUUCUUCGUUACCAAGCUCGGAAUCAAAACUUUGCCUUGUGUCAUACUCUUCAGGUCAGGCAAUCUCCGUAUAAUUAUUGUAAAUCUGCGUGCAUGUCCAUUUCGAGCAUUAAAGAGGCAUAUGGGCAUCCACUAUUUCGCUGUUGUAUGAAAAGGCAGGAGAGCAACGAGAGCUGGAAAUAUAGUAAUACUGUAAUUGCGCAAUCAUUUGACGUGUGCUUCAAGAGCAUGUGAUAACUUUCAUGCUAAUUCCAUCUUGCACUGAGAUCUUCCAUUGAAAUUCAUAUUUACGGAUUCAGAGGUUCGCCUUUUUUCAGAAAAGGAGUUGCUGUGGAUAGGUUGGUUGGGUUUCAAGAAGUGGGAGCAAAAGAUGAUUUCAGCACAAGGGCGCUUGAAGUUGCACUAAUCAAGAAAGGUAAUGGCUUUGUCAAGUGUGUUUCACAAUUCGUAUCCUGUUGCGGAGUAUCUAAACUGCCAAUUUAACAGGUAUAAUUAGUGAGAAGAAAGAAGACGGUGAUGAAGAUGAUGGAUAUCUUGAAGGCGGUCGCAGGACAGUGAGAUCGUCUGUGAAUCUUGAUUCGGAUUCAGACUGAAACCGCAACCUGAGUUUUCAAAUGCGUUGUAUGCUUGUUGUGGCAUCUAAUUUAUGUUACCAUAUGAACGGAAUUUGUGGACCGCAUUUGCAGUGGAAAUAUAUUCUUCCAGGCAUUCAUUUUGUUAUUGAUGUUAAGUCAGUCGCUGUAUCUAUAGACUUUUCUAAAUCGUGUACCACACAAUAACUUGUCGUGAACAAAAUACGGUAGCAUAGUAAAACAAUUGCAUGGAAAUACGAUUAUAUUGCUAAACCCUCAGUUUGAGAUAAACUUUACGUAAAUCGGAUGGUGUAUACUCUGUUGGCAUGCAAGUUCUUCAUCCUGUUAAAUGGUAAAAGGGAGUUUUAACGAAAAGCCCACGGUACUGUUCACUUUAACGAAAAACCACAUUUUUACACUAAAAAGUCAAACCUGGUACUAUUCACUUUACUUUUUAUUUUGUCCUUAUCAUUAAAACUCAAAGUUUUCAAGCCUUUUUCAAAGUCUGUCCUGAGAUUUCGUGUGCUCCGGGCGACAACCAAAAAGAGCAGAAUCAGGAAGUCGGAAUCCAAAUAUUUUGGACAGAGCAGGAAAUAAUCGAGCCAAAUCCCGGGAGAUUGGGUAGGUAGGAAAGUACACCUCAGUGAGUGCAGCAUCCGCAAAUUCUUUCGUGAUCGAGUAACAAUCUAAGAUUUAUAAUCCGUUAUUCUGAAUUGGCAUAAAAGUAUCCCAUGCAGGUGAACGUCGAGUGAGAUACAAUAUCGCAUUUAAUUUAAAAUGACUGGAUACAAUCAACCUUUCUUAAAAAAAAUACAUGUAUGCAUAGUAAAAUCAAACAACGUAACUAGGUGAUAUAUUAUCCAAAUCUCUAGAUAUUUCUUGUAUCAAAUCCCAAAUACGUAGAUUUGAGAUCACCAUUUCCAAAUGAACACUUAGAGGAGUCUGUUGGAGCGCUAUAUAAUUAGAAUGGGAGGACGUUGGUUUCUAAAUUUCUAUCCCCAAAAAUAAACAAGGCAGCCGGUGAAGAAAAAAGACAACAAAUGCACAAUGUAAUAUUUCUCUCUGAUUAGUUUAGUUCAAACUCUCUUAUCUUGUGGCUUUACUCUUCUUUGUUUUGGUUUGUCUUGGUUAGUUCGAGGUGACUCUGAUUUUAUUCAUAUAGAAAACUUUCUUGUAAACGUGAUUUCAAAUCAUCAAAACCGUUUUUCGUAAUAUUUAACAGGAAAAAUUAAAAGUGCUUAUGGGUUGGAAAAAUAUCCUGACAUGGUCUAUAUAAACAUAAGUGCUCUUCAAAAAAUAAAAAAACAUGUCUACGAGCUAGAUAUUACUUAGGCAAGAUCAAAUUUAUGCUUUAUUGUUAAUAAAAUUGUCCUCGUACAGUCGAGAAGUUAUCAAAUGAAAACAAAACCAUGUAUGAAAUGAAAGUAGUGGAAAUAUAGUUUUACCGGGAAUAGCAAAGAGACGUUAUUUAGGAUUUGAGUGGAGUUGCCUUGCAUUUCGCCUUCUGUCGAGACCUCGUCAAACAUCAAGCUCUCAACUGAAUCGAAACCUUAAAAAAAGAAAACAAGAUUUACUAAUUUUCUUCUCCCUCACUGUCUCUCCGACAUUUUCUAAGACUUCUCAAAUCCCGACUAUGAUUCAGGAUAUUUAUAUCCAUCCUUGCCUCUCUCUCCCCCAAAACCCCAUUUGUGUUUUUCUUUUUUGGACUGACCCCCCGCUGUGUUCACCAGAGGACAGAGGUAAAUAAAAUCAAUAAUCCUAUUAAUCCCACUAUAUUUUUCUGUAUUUUUGUACAAUUGGAGGCCUUUAAUUUUGCUCUUUCUGUUGUUACUGCUCAAUUUUAUUUGAAUUAAUCCUAUGUUUUAGUUGAGUUAUAUAUAUGAUUUUUAUUUAAAUUUAAGCUGCAUUCUGGUUGUGAUUUUGGUUUCCAAAGUGGGAACGUAAAUGCAUGGAUUUGUUCAAUUGGGCGAUUCUUGUAGUUACUGCUCAAUUUUACUUGAAGUAAUUUGCUUUUUUAGUUGGGAAAUUAGCCAACACGAUCAUUUUUCACGUACCAAUCGCUAAAAAUGAUCAGUUUUCAUUAUAUCGUCAAUAUCUGAUUUUGAUCGUUUUAGGAAUUGGGAUUUAGUUUCUAAUCAUUUUAGCGAAUUGCCCCCUUAAGUUGGUUGUUUCUUUUUUGAAAUUUAAGUUGCAUUUGGUUGCAAAGUACAUUAUAUAGCAUAAUUGGUCUGUUUUGUGAUUUUGUUUUCCAAAGUGGGAAUGUAAAUGCAGGCAUUUGGGCAGGGUUUUGUUUCUGGGUCUGCAUCUGUGAUAUGAGUGCUUGAUUCUUCUUCUGCACUUCAGCUACUACUUUAACAAAGUUUUCGGACAAGUAAAUACCGUUGCCCUCACAAGUAACACCAUGUCUGGACCUCUACCCGGUAAUAUUUCAUUUAGAAUCAACGUAUAUUCGCAUCUCGAUAACUAUAUGCUUCAAAUGUGAGGACUUGUCUUGAAUUUGUAAUGCACAAUGCCACUUUAAGGGACUUUAGGAUGUUGGAAUGGACAAAAACAAGCCUUGGAAUUUGGAUGCAUUAAUAGGCAAACAUAUUAUUCUUUGCAUAUUAGGAUGCCUCGCGUUUGAUGCGCAUAGAUAUGACUCACUUACGUUGUGUGAUUUUCAGUAUCUGAUGUCGAAAUAUCUGAGGAAGAUAGAAAGACUAAAGUCGGGUCGUUGAAGAAGAAGGCAAUGAAUGCCUCUACUAGGUUCAGAAAUUCUUUGUCAAAAAGGAAUAGAAGAAGCAGUAGUAAAGUCUUGUCUAUCGACAUUGAGGAUGUGCACGACUUAGAGGAGAUACAUGCUGUUGAUUCGUUGCGGCAGGCACUUUUACUGGAGGAGCUUCUACCCUCCAAGCACGAUGAUUAUCAUAAGAUGCUCAGGUUUCUUCCUUUUUCUUGUUCCAGUGGAAGUUUUGUUGUCGAUGGUUUUUAUGAUAGAUACUGGGUUCUUGUUUAAUCUAACUAAAUCAUUGUAAUACAGAUUCUUGAAGGCCAGGAAAUUUGAUGUCAACAAAACCAAGCAAAUGUGGUCUGACAUGCUCGAGUGGAGGAAGGCAUUCGAUGCUGACACAAUCAUGGAGGUAUCUUCUGUAGAAAUAGGUGCUUAGGUUUUGAAGUUUGCUAAUUAUUUCAUUUUACAUCUUUCCUUUCAAUUUUUAUGUUUGCUUUCCUUUAGUAAAGAGCAGAAUAUCAUUUGUUUAUAUUUGUUCGUCAAUUUAGUUACUCAUGUAUUCAUCUUUUCUUCUAGGACUUUGAAUUCAAGGAACUCGAUGAAGUCUUGAAAUACUACCCCCAAGGACAUCAUGGUGUAGACAAGGAAGGACGACCUGUGUACAUCGAGAGACUAGGCCUAGUAGAUGUGACCAAGCUGAUGCAAGCCACAACUAUGGACCGCUACGUCAAAUACCAUGUCCAGGAGUUUGAGAGGACAUUUGCUGUUAAAUUUCCAGCUUGCUCAAUUUCAGCAAAGAAGCACAUUGAUCAAAGUACAACUAUCCUCGAUGUGCAAGGAGUGGUAUGUGAUACUAACUAUAACCGCUACUUCUGCUCAGCAAAUAAUUUGAAAAAACAGAAAACUAGAAUCACUUAUGGGAAAACAAGGGAAUAGCUGGUAUAUUGUUUAUAGCUGUUGCCAAGAUGUGCUAAGAUUUUUAACUAUAAGGGAUAUUUACUACAAAGAAUCUUGCUUCAAAUUACAUUACAUGGAAGUUAAAUAAUCUGUUACGAACUUACUGCAAUGCCUCAGGGAUUUAAGAAUUUCAACAAAUCUGCCAGGGAACUUAUUACUCGCCUUCAGAAGAUUGACGGUGACAAUUAUCCUGAGGUACUGCCUUACCGGUUAACAUCUUUUGGUCUAUAAAAUUUUGGGAACUUCAGGACAUUUUUGUUGAUGGUAGAAUUAUGAUGCACACAAACUGUUGUUUUUACCACAGACCUUGAAUCGCAUGUUUAUCAUCAACGCUGGUUCUGGCUUUCGAAUGUUGUGGAACACCGUGAAGUCCUUCCUUGAUCCGAAGACUACGGCAAAGAUUAAUGUGAGUAUAUACAUUUUUAUGCUAAAAAUGCUUAUUCUCGUCAGGGCUACAUUAAUCAGGGAAAACUAUCAUCCUCCAGGUCCUUGGCAACAAGUAUCAGAGCAAGUUGCUUGAAAUAAUUGAUGCUAGGUAAGUCUGUUUUAAACGAAGCAGACUUUUUAGGAGCUUUGCUUCCACAUAAGCUGCUUCAUCAGUUUGCUUAUUUUGAUGUACAUUUUCUGGCUUGACUUUGCUCCAGCGAAUUACCCGAGUUUUUAGGAGGUACAUGUACUUGUGCUGAUCAAGGAGGCUGUAUGCUUUCGGACAAGGGACCCUGGAAACAACCUGAGAUCAUGAAGGUAGAUAAAGACCGUUCUUCUCCUCGUUUUUUUUUUCCUUUUUAUUAUAUCAUUACCACUAUGCAUUAUUUUAACUUCUAAUUUAAUUAGAAUUCAUAAGUAUCGAUUUAUGUACUUGCAGAUGGUCCAAAACGGCAGUCAUCAAUGUUCAAGAAAAUCUGGACUUCAAGUAGGUCCUGCUUGAACAUAUCUUCUGCUUUUCUUUUUCCUUAUAAACCUGCCCCUAGUUUCCGGAUUGUCACAUUUGGACUCUAGGUCAUCUCAAAGUUCUUAGUCACAUGAUUUUCAUCAUAUAUUUUGGUGCUUCAUGUUCGUAGAUGUAAUUGAUAGCUUAAUCAUAUAAUCUUCCUAGGGACUCGAUGCAGCUCUGAAUGUUGGACCUUCCGCUCCUAAACUCAAUCAUGCACUUUCUCGCUUCCAUGAAGAAGUAAGUGCAAAAAACUUCCAAGUUCAAUUUAAAUUUCAACCGAGCAAUUGUCAAGUACACUGAGAGCUUUUCUUUCUUAUGUAUGUGUUUCUAAGCAUAGACACACGUAUAAUUGAUAUCUGCGUAUCUUGUAGCUGAAGUUUCCCUCCUCUGUUAUCGUGACAGUUCUGACCUCUGAGAUAAUCUUUGCAGGUAUCCCUAGCCAAAACUCGCCAAGUGUCUUUCAGGCGCAAGGACAGUGUCUCGAUGGUUGGUAAAUCUGUGGAUUCGAGUUGGCCAAUGUCAGUGGGGAAUGUUAAAUUUGCCCUCUCAAAGGCUAAAUCAUCUGAGAAUUUAGGUGAGCUUGUGUAUUGUGUUUCUUUCCUUAUCUAAUUCUAAGAUAUUCCUUUUUUUUUCCUUUUUGUUUCUUUCACAAUAGUUAUAGGGUCUGAGUUUCUUUACUUGCAGCAGGAGAUUGUUUCACCAGGAACAAUGCUUGCAAACUGCCUGAAGGUUUAGGCUCUCAGAUUAUGGCUGCUAUUAUGACGUUUCUUGUGGGCAUUGUCGCCAUGGUCAAACUAACACGUAGCAUGCCAAGGAAGCUCACCGACUCCACCUUCUACUCCAGCACUGUCUGCGACAGUGACACAAUGGUCAAAGGCCAGGGCUCUUCACACUCUGCCAUCUCCGGUUCAGAUCUCAUGACUGUCAUGAAACGCAUGGCUGAGUUGGAAGAGAGAAUGACUGUUUUGAACAUGAAACCUGCUGCCAAGCCAGCUCAGAAGGAGGAAAUGCUGAAUGCUGCUCUAGGUCGGGUUGAUGCCUUGGAGCAAGAGCUUAUGGCAACAAAGCAGGUAGCGUUUCAACAUGUUCCUCUAUGUAGAUUUCUGGAAUACAGAGCUACAAAACCUAGCUGAAAAAUUAAAUCUGAAACAGUAUCCAACCAUAGGAAAGUAAAAGCUGUAAUUUACAUCAAUCACUAGCAGGGUACUAUUAAUGUUAUAGGUGUAUGAUCCUCAUUUGAAUUGGCUUCUCGUUUAGGCUCUCGAGGAGUCGCUUGCCCGGCAAGAGGAGCUCUUGGGCUCUCUUGACAAAAGAAGAAGAAGAAGAAGAACAAGAAGAAGAAAAUGGUAAGCAACCGAGACGAAAACAUCACUUAUUCGAAUUUUAGGUGGAGUUUGUGACAUUUUAAAUAUGUUUUGGGUUGUAAUGCAGUUCCAUAUCUGGUGAAGAAAAGUCAGACACAGGAGAAGAUAUGCUUGGUUGAAUAAAUGAAUCAUUGGCUGUCAAAAGCCCCCACCCAAAUGCGCGCCUGUACUCAACUUAACCGUUCUAUUAAACUUUUACCACAUAAAAUAUGAAUGAACAAAGUUUUGGCCAUGUGCCUAGUUUGCCAGUGUAUCACUUUUCACUAUUAUAAUUUAUGUAGAUGUCUUCAUUUUUCAAUAUAAGUUUCUAAUAGCACAUGAACAUUGGUCUAGCGCACGGCACUCGAUCUCUAGUUUGUUCAAGAAGAUAUUGCGUUCACAUCUCAUGAACAGACAAUAGUUGUUGAAAAAACUAUUUAGAGUUUGGUACAAACCCAACUGGAUUUUGGGUGCAUGCAUGAUAUGAUCAUGGUGUAGAUAUCCUACUUUAAACGGACAUUUAGUCUUUUUACUUCGCUGGAGGCAAUUCUGAGUUUAGAUUUUGUCGAGGAGAGUUGUUGAAACACUAUUGAGUGUUUGGUACAAACCCAGCUGGGUUUGUUUGGGUGCAUUAUGCAUGAUAUGAUACCAUGAUGUAGCCAAAGACCUUGUGAUUUGCUUGUUGGAAAGCAAGUGAGAGUUGAGCUACUUUCAGAUUAUCAGAAUCUAGAUGGAUAGCAGAAUAGGGUUUGCUCUAGGGGGGAUGUAGGAGGGCGGCGGAGAAAGUGUGCGCUUACGGAAUGUUUCUUUCAAAGACUCACGCGAGAGAGAGAGAGAGAGAGAGAGAGAGAGAAUGAAUGACUGAAUGAACUGUUGGGAAAGCAAAGGCAACACUGUUCACAAUCUUACCAUAUCUUCAAGUUGGACUGCCUCCCCUUAGUUUUAGGCUUUUAGCCAUUUGGUUUGGCUUUAGCCAAGUCCACCAAAAGGGUUUGAUAUUCUCUACACAUAGAAUUAUACAUCAAACAUCAAACAUUAUAACAUUAAUACAUUAUAUUAUUUUUGGGGAAUUGUUAUUAGCAUUUCAAAAAUCUUAUUUGGCACUACAAACCUUCUAUAAUUAGAAAGAAAAAUACAUUUGUAAGGAGCGUAUAAUGAGAUUUUUAGAGUAUUAAUAACAAUUCUCUUAUUUUUGUUACAUCUAAAUCAUGAAUUAUUAAGACAAUAAGAGUGCGAUGAUUAUUUGUAUCACAAAGUAUUUGUGAUCGUCAUUAACAUUUAUCUCUAAAAAAAUAUUUUUAUUAAAUGCCAGAUUAGAGAAAUCAUCCAUGUACUGUGGCGUUUGUCAAUGUUGCUCUUGCGGAUGCAUAACUCUUAAUAAUACCAUUGAAGUUAUAUAAUUAGUAUGUUACCAAUCUCAUUUCAAAUCUUAUUUGUUAUAUCACAUUCAAACUUUAUCCAUAUUUUUAUUGUGUGCAUCAUUUCAAGAGUAAAAAUGUAAAUUUUAUUUAAGUUUGUGGAGCUGUUUCAGCCUUAAAUUACACUUGGAAUGACCAUUUAGUUUGAAUUGGAUGAAAUUUUGAUGUAAAAUUCGGUUUGGCCAUUUUUUUUUUUCAAUUACAAUAGAAACAUUUAAAGAUGUGACCAAACUUAUGGAACUUAGCCUUAUGGAAAUGUACCAAUAGGGACCAUCAAUGGGUACCUAUUAAGUUAAACGGAAGUCCAUUUAAGUGUAAAUAUGUGUUAUUUUUUAUGAUGAAUGGUAAUAUUGUGCUUGUAAUAAUGAUAAUAUUGAUAUAUGGAAUGUCUGUGGGCACCUAUUGAGUAUUACCGAUGAGUAAGAAUUAAUGGAUCUCCUCGCAUUACACGUUAAAUAUUAAUCUAUACUUAUCAUAUCAACAACCAAUUGUUUAGCAUUAUCUAAGAGCAUAUACAUCCUUAUUUCCAUGUUUCUUGUUUGUAAUUGAACAAAAACGGGGAUGAGUAUCAUUUCUUUGUCGUUGUACAGAAAAGUAAUAAUAAUAUCUCAUAAAUUGAAGGCAUAUUAAAAGUAAUUGUGAAAAUUUAUUCAUUUUGUGGUCAUUAGAAAAAUUGUACGUGAAUGAAACUUAUCAUAUUAUUUUGAGGGGUUGAAAUGAUAGGUUUCGUUAAUGAGUAAUUCACUGUUUACCUUCAAAUUGGACACAAAUUUUGUCAUUAAAUUUUUUUCAUUUAAGAUAUCUUAGAGAUCAACACAUGCUAAAGUUUCCAAACCAAAUCUCACUAACACAGAGGCUAGUAAUAUUCAUUUUCACGUGGAACAUCUCGAGUUGAACUUAAAUGACUAAUGUCUAAUUAUUAUAAUUACCGCAGCGGCCUAACUCAGUUCAUCCACCCCUAUAAAAAUAUCAUCGAAUUAUAAACAAAUAGAACAUUUUCCGUAUGCAAAAAUAGAUAAUGCAAUGAAUGCGUAUGCCGUUGGUGGUACAAAUUUCCAAAUAAGUAGGGUUGAAAAACGGUACAUUUCACAUAGACGAGGGAAGUGAUAAACUGAUGGGUAAGCCGAGUUACCCAGAGCCGUCAACAGACGGCGUAAUCUUAAAUUCGACAGCAUGAUUUUAUAGUGUUUGAUUGAUUGUGCAUGAAGCAACAAAAACGAAGACCGAAAGAAAGAGAGAUCUUAUGUAGCUGUCCUGUCGGUGUGGGGGUCAUGGGUUUAGCUCCUUCCUCCUCCUCCUCUCUCCCGUGGGGGGUUAAUUUGUAUUUAACAUUAACCCCCCCUCUCUCUCUCUCUCUCUCUCUCUCUCUCUCAAAUCCCUCUCACUGAUCACGACGAGAAAAAGAAUCAUAACUCGUGAUGAUGGUCUGAUAUCACUAUGAGGCUUUGAGCCAUUUAUCUAUAUAUUUACAUCUAUAUAUAUAUAUAUAUAUGUAUGUAUGUAUUCGUAUAUAUAAAUAUAGAUAAGGGAGGAUCUAUGUACUUGCCAGUGACUUGUCCCCACGACCUUUAAGGAUCCUCUCUUCUCCUGUUAAUGUUGCUUGCCAAUUAUUGAGGUUUGUUCUUCUUUUCUCUUUUGGGUUUUUGUUCUUCUUCUUGAAUUUUUGUGUAAAGUUUUAGAAUUUAGCUAUGAAUUCGUGAUUUGGGAGCUUUCAUGUCCGUAAAAGGUAAAAACUUUGAUUCCUCAGCUAGUCUUUUGAUGCAAUCGACAUUCUACUUUAAACUAAUUUAAAUUCCGGGAGGGAAUUUGAACUCGGGUAGUAAGUGUGCUUCUCAGUUUCAGUUUUGAGUUUCGUUUAUUGGGUAGUUUUUUAUGGUGUGUGGAAGUUGGAGAAUUGUUGGUGUGAAUGGGAUUUCAAAAAUUGCUGGGUUGACAAGUAAAAGAAAAAAGAUGAAAAAUUUAGGAGUUGAAAGUGAAAAAAAAAAAAAAAAAAAAAAAAAGAAGCCAAAAGUGGAAGUGAAAUUCUGUGUAAUUUUAAACGUAGGAGAAAAGUAGGAAGAAUAACACAAACGGGGAUUUGGGUGACUGCAAAAGAUCCAAGUCUACAAGUGUUAAGGGCAAGUAAGGAUUGAUUCCAUUUUAAAGCUUACCUCUUCUUUACAUACACACUCCAACACAUCGUUUUCGGUUUCUGUAGAAAAUUAUCAUCCAGUGCUUGUCGUACACUUCAAUUUCUGUCACUUGGUAUUUCAUGUUGUUCUUGUUAUAUUUUUGUUGUUUGAAGGUUUUUAUUAGAAGUAUUUAAGUAUUUGUGUUUUAAGUUGGAAGGUAUUGAGUGAUUUGCAGGAAAAUGGCAACUUUAGUUGAGCCUCCGAAUGGAAUUAGGCAACGGGGGAAGCAUUAUUACUCAAUGUGGCAAACAUUGUUUGAGGUUGACACCAAGUACGUACCGAUCAAACCCAUAGGGAAAGGAGCAUAUGGUGUAGUGUGCUCGUCAAUCAAUAGGGAAACGAAUGAGAAAGUUGCAAUCAAGAAGAUCAAUAAUGUGUUUGAGAACAGCAUUGAUGCAUUGAGGACUCUGAGGGAGUUGAAGCUUCUUAAACAUAUCCGGCACGAAAAUGUGAUUGCUUUGAAGGAUGUUAUGAUGCCUAUCCACAGGACAAGUUUCAAAGAUGUGUACUUCGUUUACGAGCUCAUGGAUACGGAUCUUCAUCAUAUUAUAAAGUCAUCCCAACCACUUUCCAGUGACCAUUGCAAAUACUUCCUAUUUCAGGUACUAGCUUUCUCUCAACUAGUGUUAAUUACCUCAUUAAUUCCUCCGAGUAGUCAUCCCAAUUGGUUCAUGCUAAUUUUGAGCUUAAUUAGUUCAUGGAAAUGUAAAAAAUUCUGGAAAAGGUAUAGGAACUGAAUGAGUAGAAAGCAUGUUACCGAAGUACAUUUUGACCAAGCACAAGCAGACGUUUCAGCUUCUUGCAUUUUCUUAUGUAGAACUUAACACUCUGGUGUUUCUGUGCAUUUCAAAGGCUGAAAUUUUGGUUCCUCACCAAGCUUCAGUUAAUCCUUGAGCUCUGCUCUUAUAAUAGUUGUUCUAUUUGUGACUAAUUUGGUUCGGCAUUGUAGCUGCUUCGAGGGCUCAAGUAUCUUCAUUCAGCAAACAUCCUUCACCGUGAUUUGAAGCCUGGCAACCUGCUAGUCAAUGCUAACUGCGACUUGAAAAUAUGUGACUUUGGGUUGGCCCGAACCAGCGGAGGUAGAGGCCAGUUCAUGACAGAGUAUGUUGUCACUCGCUGGUAUCGUGCACCAGAGCUGCUAUUGUGCUGUGACAAUUAUGGAACAUCCAUUGACGUCUGGUCCGUAGGAUGCAUCUUUGCUGAAAUUCUUGGCCGGAAGCCAAUCUUUCCUGGAACUGAAUGCCUCAACCAACUAAAACUAAUUAUCAAUGUUCUUGGUAGCCAGAAUGAGCCUGAUCUUGCAUUCAUUGACAACCCGAAAGCCAGGAAGUACAUCCAAUCACUGCCCCUUUCUAGGGGGACACAUUUGUCCCGUUUAUACCCCCAAGCCGAUCCUUUAGCUAUAGAUUUGUUGCAAAGGAUGCUUGUGUUUGAUCCAACUAAGAGGAUCUCCGUCUCAGAAUCACUCCAACACCCUUACAUGUCAGAGCUAUAUGAUCCGAGGUCUGAUCCUCUUGCCCAGGUUCCCAUCAGCCUCGAUAUAGAUGAGAAUAUGGGGGAACCAAUGAUCAGGGAGAUGAUGUGGAACGAGAUGCUUCGCUACCAUCCAGAAGCUGUCCAGAUGCUUCACUACCAUCCAGAAGGGGCUUAUGUGCAUGCUUAGAUAAACUUUCAAAAGGCUUUCCAGUUUCAAAAACAAUGUUUCUUCGUGCAAUGUGUUUAUUAUUUAUAUAAAAAUCAUGCAAUAGAGAAACGUAUUGUUGUUCAUAAUGAUCUUGCCAAGAUUUUGCAUUAUGUUCGGUAGCUUGAGGUCUCCCUGAACAUUCUAUCGCGUAACUCUGUAUGUAAUUAUGCUUGUUACCUGUAGUCUACGACUAUGAUAUCUUAUUAUGGAUAAUGCAUGCAAGACAUUUCCUGAGAAAAACCGAAAGGAACUGAAUAAAGAUGCGUCCAUUUUUAUUCACGUUCUUGUCUUCUGUUUCAAUUAUCCUUGUAGUUUUCUUUACUCAAAGGCAAAGAUGUGUACUGUUUCUUCACAUAUUGGCAAGCUCAAGCUUAAUAGGUAGAUGUGUGGGUCGCUCAAGGCUUUAGUGUAGAUGCUGAAGCAUGUGCUUGUUUGCCUGAAAGUGAAAGGAAUAUAUGAAAUCAUUCGUCGAAAUUUCACUGUACGAUUUGUGUCAUUUGCUUGAUAUUUCGUGGUAGGCACAAAUAGGAAACUACAAUUGCCCUAGAGCUAUGAAAACUUGAUAGAGAUACAGAGAAACUUGAUAGAGAUACAGAGAAAGGGGGGAAAAGAAGCGCGGAGUAAGGGUGAUGGGAGGGAGGUCGAAGAUGCGUGUAAAAGGAAGGAUGAAGAAGUGCGGAGUAAGGUGGUGGGAGGGAGGUCGAAGAUGCGUGUAUGAAAUGCUACAUAGAAUGAAAACUAAGAACUAAAACGAACUUUAAGCUUUAAUUUCUAAUUUUUGUUUCAAUCAUUCUCCAUAAUUUGUACCUCCACCCUCCUCCAUCUCCUUUUAGCUUCUCUAUCUCUAACGAAAACUGAAAACUAAAACUAUUAACGAAAAGGUUAUUCCUUAUGGAGUUAUGCAACUUUGUAGUAUAGAGCAGAGAACCAUGAAUGAAAGUCUGAGAAAGUAAACUAGGGAAUUCAUGUUUGUCUUGUAUUUUGGAUAAUAUCCAGAGGUGGAUAUGGAUACAUUAGGUGAGCCGAGGCAUGGAUAAAGCAGCUCAAUACUGACCUACUGUAAGCACACAGUUGUUAAUAUGGCCCCUAGCUUUUGGUUAGAGAUUGACUUUCAAUGCCUAUCGGAACCGAAUAUAAGACUGUUUUAUAACUAUUUCGUUUGUUGUUUUUAAUUUCAUCGUUUUGUUAACAGUAAAUAGGAAAUACAAGAGAGAAAUGAGGGAUGGACAAAGGUGGAGGAUGAAUGGUGGAAUAAAGCGGAUAUCGUAGAGUACACAAAAUAAAAAUUAACUAAAAACAAAGUUUAGUAGAUUUUCUUUUCUAUUUUCCACAUUCUCCUUUAUUUAAUCCUCGAUCCUUCACCCACCAUUCUUCAUUUCUCGUUCCUCUAUAUGCAUUCUUUCUAGCUCUAUCAAGAAUUAAAAUUAUAAACAAAAUAAUUAUCAAACGAGUCAGAAACUGCUAUAAAAAAAAUCAACUAUUACUAAGACUAGUCGAGUGACAAGAUGAAAUCUUAAGCGUUCAAACAUAAAAAGAGGGAUACAAAUGAGAAAUAAUCCUUGUUCUAUUUCUAAAGCUGCUGCAUCGAUAUGCAGCCUACUUUUUAAGUUUAUUUUGGCAAACAAACUUUAAGAAAACAUCUAUCAUAUAUAUUAUAUCCUACCAUAUAUACAAAAAAAAGCCAUGACACUCGAAAGUUCACUUUAAAGCAAAAGGAGCAUACAAUUUGAGACCCAAAGAAAGAGACCUUCACAGAAGAAGUUGAUAAGAAUUGAUAUUUAGGUCUCCCAACUUUUCUUAACCCCUAAUAAACCCACUAACAGCCCACAGCCCACCGCCCACCGCCCACUGCCCACUGCCUACCUCUCUUGCCUGCCUGGUUUCCUCCCACUUCUUUUUACAAUGACUGGGUCCAAGCCUCCCAAUGCAACUUGCAAGAAACAUGUCAUUGAAGUAAUGGUCUUAAAUUGUAAUUUAAUUAGGGUAAUGAUUUUUGAACUUACUACAAUGUGUAGAAAUGAGUUUUUUGGGCGACUUCGUUAGAAAUUUUGUUCAUUUUUUUCCUUUAACCUUUUAUUUUGGAUGAUAUUUCCAUCAUUGUUGCUCAAAAGGAUGUUUUCUCCACGAUGUGAUAAAUUCAAGGAUUAACAUUUAUGGAUUUUCAAUUUAACGACUAAAACUCAGUUUGGGUCAAAGUUUAUGACAAUGCUUCACUUUUCUCUUUAAAUGGAUAGAGAAUUUGGUACUUUCGAUUUAACUUAUAAUUUUUCUACACAUAUAAAUACAAUAUUAGAUGCUAAGCUGAGAGUGCAAAAACCGCUACUAAAUCUUAUUUGUGUUCAGUGUCCAGUAUGAAAAGUGUGUUUGGCAAAAACGUAACGAGGAGCUGGCAUCUUUAAAUGAAAGAUUACCUAAUUCCACAUGUAUAUCAAAAGUGGAAUAUCCUCUCUCUCUGUCUCUCUCUAUAUAUAUAUAUAUAUUAUGUAUAUAUGUAUAUAUGUAUUUGAGUAUGCAAUAUGUUAAAUGGAGUAGACCUUGAAGUUGAGGAAGGGUCCAAUAUGUCAUAUGUGGUUUCCAAAGUCCAGAGUCCAAUGGGGAUCAUUGUUAAUAAAACAAAUUGGUCACUUAAAAUUAUAAAUGUCUAAAAUUCAUAUGCUUAAAUUGAAUUACAAACACAAUAAAUAUGAGAAAUGACCGAAAAACUAAAAGCAUAAAGUGUUUAUUGGGAGAAUUUCAUGCCCUCGAAAAUUGCAUAAUACAUAUUCAAGAAUUGUUCGUGCAUUGCUCGAGGGCACAAGAACUGCUCGAAAGGGACUCGAGUGGCUAUGUUUUCUUCUCCUCUUUCUUUAAAAGAAAAACAUAGCUCCAUCGCUGGGCAGCCAAUGACCAGUCAUUUUGUAGGCUGCAGGGAGGGGGCCUUACCUGUGUAAGAUGUAACCCUUCUUGUUAUUGAUCAAUUUUAAGGGACCGUCUCUUAGAAUUUUGACCACAUACACGUGCCCUUGUAUUGUUGGGAUUCAACUAGAACAGCAACCAUGUCAACACAAGACUCAUGUGCGACUUUUGGUUGGUGUAACCUAAUUAUGCCACACUUGCCAAGUAUAUGAUGUAAACUUGAGGAAAAAAAUAGGCUAUUUUUUGCAAAACUUCUUAAAACUCGAACCUAAUUUCACUUUCUUUUAUGGAUUAAAAUUUUGUCAUUUUGUAUUUUGAAUUUCGAUAUUCGUUCCAUUUUAGCUAAAUUUUGUUUAUUAUGUUAUAUUGGUGUUGAAUUACUGACACAUAUGUGAUGGAGGUGCCAACCGUAUCAAUGAACUGCACCACAUUGUAUAUCAUGAUAUAAUUCAAGGACGAUUGCUACAUAAUCUAAGAAGAGACGAGAGGAAUACAUAUUACUUUAAAAGUAGUUUCAAUUUACAAAUUAAUCUUAGAAAGUAACUUUUAUCUCAAUUUCAUGCUGAACUUUUGUCUCACAAAAUCAGGGGAAAAUAUUGACUCUUUGAAGAAUACAUACAUAUAGACAGAAUGCAAACCAAGUCUUACGAAAUUUCAAAUACCGAGGACUUGGCCCUUAAGGUCCUGUUUGGCAGAACGGAUAGGACAAGUUAUACGGAUUUGGGUGUUUGGCGUUUCCUCGUAUUAAAUAAGCACUUGAUUAAUUUAACCGAUCUGCUUAUUAGUUGGUUUUGCUCUCCUCUCUCGCGAACUCGGCCCUCUCUCUCCAACCGAACCUUUAAUUUCGUACAUGACGCUGAGUUAUUUGAAUUCAAAGCUUUUUUGACAGCAGAUGUCAAAUUUAUUAAAUGAUAUUUUAAUAGAGUAAUAUAAUAUAUAAUAAAUGUAGUUAUGUUUUUGAAAUAUUUGAUUGGUUGUCUUAAUCAUUGAACUCCAUAAAAAGAUAAAAAAUUUAUUAAAUGACAUUAUUAUUUAACAUAUCGAUGAAGCAAAAUAUUAUACAAAAUGUCACAUUGCCACAUAAGUUAUCAACUAUCAUAUUGAUGUUUAAAAUUUGGCAUCUCCUUAGGAGAUGCUUUUAGGAUUUGAAAUGUAUUUGGGUUUUUAGAUAAUUACAUUGAAUUCAUAUCCAGUCAGUAUAAAUAACACGAUCAUUAGUUCAAUGUUACACCAAACGAUCGAUUAAUUUAGUCAGUACUAUUCGAUGAUUAUUUAUUCUAUCCGAUUAAAAUAAUCAGUAUAGGCGCUAACAAACGAGGCCUAAAAGUCACAUUAUGUGUUGUCCCUUGUCCUCGUAAUUAUAUUAUAUGACAAUCAGACAUGUUCUUAAAUUGUUUUUAGUAGUUUAUUUAUUUUAAGCGGGCGUUGCUGGCCUAUAUAUUCAACCAGCCACCACUCUUCAAAACCUCCUCUCCCUAUCUUUCCUGCCUAGUAGUGCCUACCCCAAGAUUUUGAUCUCUCUCUCUCUCUCUCUCUCUCUCUCUCUCUCUCUCUCUCUCCUGGUUCUGAAAACCUUGUGUCUGCUCUUUCUCUCUCUCCUCUCCUGGUUCUGGAAACCUUCUCUCUUUCUUUCCUGGUUCUGAAAAACUUGAAUCUGCUUCGAAAUUCAUUUAUAGCUUUUGUGGUAUCCUUUUUCUCCAAUGCUUAAUAUAAAAACCUAUAAAUAUAAUUAUGUCUCCCGUACUCAGUGAAAUCCUGCUCUCUGGGUGUAUGAUAAACCCCACCCUCCUUCGCAGAAGCCACUUAGUUCAAUCCUUCUCUGUUGUCUUCCUCUACUGGUUUUACAACAUUUUAUAAACAAAUUUUUACUUUUUUCUUAAUUAUUUUUCAUAUCUAGCAUCUGGGUUCUUCAAAUAAUCACUCCAACUUUCUUGGGUAAGGAAAAAGUUUUUAUUUUUUGGUUUUGUUAAGCAUAUAAACAUUACGCGCAUGGCUUCUUCAAGUGGGGUUUCUUCAGAGUCGAGCAAGCUCCAAAACUCAGGAUCUGAUGCAGAUCUUAACCUAGUCAUGGACCAGAGAAAGCGCAAAAGAAUGCUGUCCAAUAGGGAAUCGGCACGUCGAUCCCGGAUGCGAAAACAAGAGCAUAUGACUGAUCUAACGGCUCAGAUUGGGCUGCUGAUGAAGGAGAACAACCGGAUCAUCACAUCCAUGAAUGUGACCAACCAGCUUUACAUGAAGAUUGAGGCAGAAAACUCAGUCCUCAGAGCUCAGAUGGAUGAGCUUACUAACAGAUUGCAGUCCCUCAAUGAUAUCUUGGAUUGUAUUAAUUCAAGCAAAUGGAUUUAUGAGGAAGAAGAAAAUCAUAAUAUUAUUGGUGGAGGUGAAGGAUUUCUGAAUCCAUGGAGUGCUGGCUUUUUGAAUAAUCAACCAAUCAUGGCCUCUGCUGACAUGUUUAUGUGCUAAACUCAGUUGGGUUAAUCAUGGAUUAAGUGAGAGAUUAGUGAAGUGAAUUGAGAUGUAACUACUAACAACAUCCAUGGCUUGUGUAGAUUUGUUGUUACAAUUGAAUUAUUAGUAGGUCACAGGUCGUUCUACUGUUGAACAUGUAAAGCAUGUGUAAGCAAUCACUUUUGCUUUUCUUUUGGCUUCUAGUUUUGUUCCCAAUUUUAUGAUUUAAUAAAAUACUUCUUGUUUAUUUGCAUACAAUUUCAAGUUAAUUGUGCUGUGUUAAUAACGUUAGCAUACUUUAUUUUAUUUUCUUAAAAAUUAAUAAUGUUGGCAUAUUGCUGGAAUUUUGUGUGGUUUUCAUAGCUGGAAUUGGAUCAUAUGGUUAGACAAAUUUUGCUUUUUAGCUAAAAUAGUUCAUGAAAUUUUCAUAACACAUCAUUUUGGUCUCUGAGAUUGAAAAUCAAUAGAAAUGGUCCCUGAGAUUGUCUACCAUCCCUUAUUUUGGUCCUUCCAUUAAAAACUCCGUUAAGAGUGUCCCGAAGCUCUUGGCCGAAAGUUUGGGCAAUUUUCAAAGCUUUGUAACUCAAUCGUUUUUUAACCAGCUUCGUAACUCAAUCGUUUUUUAACCAACUUCGUAACUCAAUCGUUUCUUAACAAGAUUAUACAAUUUGGAAGCCCAAUGGUUGCCGGAGAUGACUGGAAAAUAGCCUAAAAGGUGUAUGGUCCGCAGGAAAACUGGAAAACUCGUCGGAAACUAAGUAAACUUUAAAUGUUCAUAACUUCUUCAAUACUCAACGAAAUCGAGUGAUUCAAAAACGAAAAUUGUUGACUUGCUGAGAGUACUGCUAUUGAGAACCUCAAGUGCUUCUGUAAGGCAAUUGAAGCCAUAUAUGGAGCCACAUACCUUUGCAAGCCAAAUCAUAAAAACUUGAAGAGGCUUUUAUGCAAGGCAGACAAAAGAGGCUUUGAGCAUGAUAGGAAGUCUCGAUUGUAUGCAUUAGGAGUGGAAGAAUUGUCCUACUACUUGAGCUGGCCAAUUCAAGGGCUGUCAUAACAAGUCAACCAUCAUGCUUUAGGCUAUGGUGUGACACAUGGAUUUGGCAUGCAUUAUUCGGCGCUCCUGGAUCAAACAAUGAUAUCAACGUUCUUUGGUCUUCUCUUCUGUUCGAUGAUGUUGUCAAUAGAUGGGCACCAGAAUGGAGGUACAAGGUAAAUGGUAAUAGGCAUGAGCUAGGUUACUACCUAACUAAUGGUAUUUAUCCUAGUUGGUCUACCUUUAUGAAAAGUUAUUCUCAUCCCGAUAGUGCGAAAAAGAAAUUAUUUUCGCAGAAACAAGAGUCUUACAGGAAGAAUGUGGAGAGAGAGUUCGAGAUCCUACAAGCUCGAUGGGCCAUUGUUAGAGGGUCUGCACGAUUGUGGAAUGUGGAAUACCUCCAUUCAAUCAUGAUGACGUGCAUAAUUUUGCACAACAUGAUUGUGGAAGAUGAGUAUGUAGAAAUUGAAGAAGAUUCUGAUGAAGAUGUGAAUGAUGACCAACCAACAUAUGCGAGAGCUAUGAAAAGAGAUGUUGAAUAUCUCGCUACAACCACAUACGAGACCUGACAGGAUAGGAUCACACUGAGUGAGUAUAUGAGACAUUUAAAUAGAAUUCAAGCUCCUCAAGGUCAUGACACACUCUGUAAGGAUUUGGUUGAGCAUAUAUGGCCCUGAGAAGGAGAACGUUGAUGAUGGAUAAUCUUAAGUGUAUUAAUGUGUUAGUGUUGGUGUAUUAAUGUGCUAUGUUGGUGUAUUAAUGUGUUCUUGUGUUAAAUUUAAGUGUGUUAUGUUGUUAAAAUUAUGUAAUAAUUUUAAGUGUACUAUGUUGGUAUUUUCUAGUAAUAAAUUGAAGUGUAUUCUUGUGACAAGUCUUUUGUCUAGUACGUUGUCAAAAUUAUUGAGGGCCGUUUGAAUUAUUGAAGGCAUCUAUUGUACAUCAAAGUGUGCAACAAUAAGUACAAUAAUUAUUGAAGACAUCUAAAUUAAUAGAAACAAUAAUUAAUAAGCCAUAAAUUUAAUACACACGAUAAUUAAUAAGUCAUAAACUUAAUACAAACGACAAUUAAUAAACCACAUAAACUUAAUACAAUUGUUAAUUCAUAAACUACAUAAACUUAAUAAUGAUAUCCACCAUCUUGACUUGGUGGUGGACUAUAGCCUUGAGAUGAAUCAUCAUCUUGAAAUAUACUCAUUGUGACAUGCCUUCGCAAAAUUUCCUUUUGCUUAGCACGUCAGAACUUCUUCCUCUCUGGAGUGUAUUUGUUGAGGUCCUCUAUCAUGAAAUUACAUUUGAACUUUUCUUGCUCCCUAUCCCCUUCGUGCGUCAUGGCCAAAUUCAUUCGGGCCGCUUCUUCCUCCCGCGAGCUAUGGCUUUUGGUCAAUCUUGCAAAUCCGGUAGCAAUUUGUGCACUAAUCGGAUCUUGGGACUCCCUUUUUCUCUUUGCUUCCUUUUGCCUAUCUCUUCUCGGGGGCCUUACAAAAGAAGAAGUUGGGGUCAAUUCAUCAACACCUUUAUUGACAUCAUUUGUCUGUGCGGCUUCACUAUGAAAUAAUCUUCCCCAUUAUUGGUCCGCAUCGGUUCCCCAUCUCGGACAAUCCUUGAGGACUUUUCAAGCAUGAUGCAACUUAAAAGCUUGAUUUUUUGGUGUAGUUCUUAUCUUGUAAAUUGCCCUUGCUUUGUCACCAUAUGUAAGAAAUACAUAAAAACAAUUCAUUGCAAAAUAAUAUUAUGUACAUAACAAAUAAAAUAUCAACAAAGAAACUCAUAACUUCUGCGGUGCUCCUUCCACUAGCCAUGUCAACCACGGCUCUCUCCAAGCUUCCCUUCCAUAAAGUGUACGCUUUGUUGAUAACCUUCCACUGAUCGUAAACACCACCACCUUCCCUUCGGCUGGCAUUGGAGUUUUCAUGGAGCUUAUCAAUAAUUUUACCCCACAAAACCUUUUUAUUUUGAUUUUUGCCAACGGCACCAUCUUCGUUAAUGGAAACUCUUGCCAAGCAUAAAGCAACAUCUUCCUCAAAUGUCCAAUUAUGAUCUCUAAUAUGCUCUUUUGCCAUCUUGAAAAUUUUGGAAAUGGGAAGAAAUGGUAGAAAGAAAAAUUGGAAGAAUUGUAGGACAAAAAUGAGUUUUGUGUGGAUGUUUGAACAUACAUAGGUAUUUAUAGAGUUUUUGGGUGAAUUUUGAGUUAAAUAUUUUUUUUUAAAUUUAUUUUAGCCGUGGAUUUAAAUUUGGACCAUUAGAUCCUUUUUUUACCGUUAAAUUUGAUUAUAUUCGACCUCUGCCGUUGAAUUCAAUAAAUAUAUAAAUAUAAAACUAAAAAAAAAUUGAAUGUAGUCGUUGGAUAAAUGUGAAUUGGAACCGUUGGAUUAAAAAGAACCGUUGGCUCGGCUGUCGCAAGUGGCCGACAUGCCCACGUGGGUGAGGCCAUGCCGAUCAUUCCGUUGGCGCAUCUGAAGCAUGCGCACGUGGAAAGGUGGAGUUUGUCACUUAAGCGCCAAUUCCCAGUUACGUUGGUGGAGCCCACACCAAUUUCUGGGUUAAACUUGGGCCGGUUUUUGGUUAUUUUAUUUUUUUAUUUUAGGUUUUAGGUUUUAAGUCCAAAUUAGAACUUGUGUUGGAAUGGAUUUUGGGGGGGGGGGGGAAUAGAAGAGGAAUUAUAGGUUUUAGGCCAUGGGUUGGAGUUGGCCUAAGAAACACCAGUUAACAUAGGGCCUUGAAAAGGUCCAAGAUAGGGCCUUGAAAAGGUCUAAGGGACAUAUAAGCCUAAGGCUGAGAAGCCUGGAAAAUGACACAACCUGAAUACCGCUCGGAUAUCGGCCGAGCGAUAUAGGCCUCAAAUGCUUAUUGAAGAGCACGUGGGCAAACUGACAGCUUUAUAACACGAGUUUGCAGAGAAAAGUCCACUCAUAUGUCAUUCAAGCUAGAUGGCGACUUGGGAACAACAAUGAAGACCCAAGAUGGGACACAAAAUGAGUUGAAGCGGCGUUCGGGGAGAUUGGGUUAAUUAAUCGAGGCCAACAGGGGGAAAUGGGCUACUUUAUUCUAUGACAACAUGCAUUUGGAUGCACAGCAACCACUUCACCGCAAAUGUUUGGUUGACAGGUAAAAAGGUGUCAUCGAGCUAGUUCUUGUAGAGUGGCACAUUAAAUGCUCCCUGUGAAAGACCCAAGGAAUGAGGGUUCAUUGGAGGCCUCUAUGAAGGGGCAUGAACCCCCAAUAUCAAGGUUGGACAACUUGAGAAAGUGAAAUUGAUGUAUUAGCCAAGCGUUAUUUUUAAUCUUAUAAUCAAUAGAAUUCAACAACACAGUGGACGUAGACCAAGUUUUGCAGGGUGAACCACUUAUAUCUUUGUUCAUUUUAAUUCUAGGCCAUAUCCAAGAGCCCACCAAGGAUCAUAUAUUUUUUAUCAUUGGGUUUAAAGUAUGUUAGUGUCCACAUGGAUUCAUGACACACCCCUUCCCGAAGGAGGGCAUGCUGGCCGUCACGAUCCGAAAUAAUACUCAUUGGUACUCUAUAUGCAUCAAAACAUAAUAAGGAUGCAACAAUAUAACAGGUGAAAUAAGGAAUCAACCGGAAACCCUGCAGCUGUCCUGUACAGUUAAUUCUAUAGCUCAAAAUCCAAUCCAACCGGAGUCACCACUGUGACCUGUACGACACUACUCUGCACAUAAAUCAGAACUACUUGAAGUAGUCUGUACGAUAAGAAUGGUGUAAGAAUACGCUCUAGUGCUUCUCUCAUCAACAACUGUAUAAUAAUCUAAAGUCACCUACAAGUCGGAACCACCUCUCAUGGUCUGUACGACAUGCACCUACUUAGAUCCAAGGUGAUCGUGUGGUGCAGGAUGAAUAAUAUAAGCACUAACACUAGGAGUGCAGGUUAUGAGCUCUCAACACAAUUCACAUCAUCAAUAAAUCACAUGAACAAUAUAAACCUCACCUGAUACUCACAUGUGCGUCCACAACACCAUUUCACAUAUAUGCAUCAAAUACUAAUUCACAUAUUUCAUAUAAUAUGCAUGCAUGGCAUACUUUCUGGUUUUGAUAAAGAUUUCUGAAUUGAGCUAUUUGAAGAUUUAUAUGCAUAUUAUAUACUAUUUUUCUGGGAAAAUAUACAUGUUUUACAGCGAGGGGUUAGAAAUGUUAUUAUAUGAGAUAUUUUCGAAAAACUUUGUUUUACUGACCCACUCAAUCUUGUUUUGCGCCCCUCUAGGUUCUAGUUAGCAGUGUUGGUGGCUCACGAGGAUUCCCACGGUGUUCUAACAGAAUUCACAAAAGUAGGACUCACCAUCGGGUGUUACAUCUUAGUAAUUGUAUCUUUAAAGCUUCAGAAUUGUGUAAAUGGUUACGUCACUCUCACGUGACGGCCAACAUGCUCUCUUUCGGGACGGGGUGUGUCAUUUAACGUACAAAACUGACACACCCCGAUCCUAGAAUCAAGGCGUGCUGGUCGUCGCGUGGGCGUGACGUAACCAAAAGUGCGACACAGAAGCAAUAGAUAAGAGAAAUAUGAAGGAAUAAAAACCAAUUACUAGCAAUAAUAUCCAACUAGCAUGCUAGAGUAAGUUUAGGUGUGAAACACACAUAUUCAGAGCGUAAAUACUAGGUGCAGUCAAGUAGGACUAUAACUAAAUUACAACACCCGAAGGUGAGUCCUACAUUUAUGUAGUCUGUCAGAACGCCGUGUAAAUCCUCGUGAGCCACCACACCGCUAACUAGAAUCUGGAGGGGCGCAAAACAAAAUUGAGUGGGUCAGUAAAACAAAGCUUUUCGAAAACAUUUCAAUUAAUAACAUUUCUAACCCCUCGCUGUAAAACCUGUAUACUUUCCCAAAAAAUAACAUAAUAUGCAUAUAAAUCUUCAUAUAUCUCAAAUCACGAAUCUUUACCAAAAACCAGAAAGUAUGCCAUGCUAUAAGCGUCAAUAACAGAAUAAGGAUGCAACAUUAUAACAGGUGAAAUAAGGAAUCCGCCCCGGACCAGGAUGUGACAAUUCAUUUGGGUUUGACCUCCAAUUUUGAGCGUUAACACACUUGACUUUAUUUAUUAUUAAUAUAUUUUACCUAACUUUUGACACUCGUUUUUUGGACCCACUUUGUAAUACUUAUUAAUCAUCCAAACGUCUAUUUUUUAGAACAUUCAUAGAUCAUCCUUGCAAAAAGUUAGACAAAUUCAAAACCAUUAAUACAUUCAUUAGUUGUGGAAAAAUUGACGAACACAGUUCUACAAAGCAACCCUAAACCCUGAAUCCAACGGUCAUAUGGUUUCAGAUUUGGGUGGUUUUUGGUAGACAUCAACUUUGAGGAAAGUCCUAAAAGAUAGAUGGUUCAGAUCAUUAAAAUAUAUUACGGAGUGGGCCUUACAAGAACGUGUCAAAAGUUGUGUAGAAAAAGUGGUGCGACGGAUCCAUCUCAUUUUCAAAGUGAGACAUAUCAACUCUAUUGCUCAUUUUUAUUAUAACACAUAAAAUAGUAUAUCACUUGACUUGUGUUUCAAUACCUGUAAAAAGUUUUAUGCAUUGAGAACUCAAGCCAUUAACUAUAUAAUACUAUUUUUAUGUCUAAUCAAGUUCUCAAUUAUCCCAUAAGAAUGGAUUUGAAUCAUAUCCGGAUUCAAAUUAUGAGAAUCCUAGGGAUCCUCACAUCUUAGCUAUUCAUCGUGCAUUGUGUGGUCAGAAAUUAUUUGAUUUUUUAUUAUUUAAAAUUAAAUACAAAUAGUACCUGACGAAAACUGACCUCAUGCCAAACCUAAGCAUGAUAAUUACUAAUUAGUUAUUCUUAAUUGGUUUGUUGAUGAGAGCAUGUGGCCAACCAAUUAUGACAAUGCUCACGUGACCAAGAAAGUUUAAUUAAUUAUAAUGACUGAAAGCUAAAGCGUGUUUAGAGUUCUUUUGUUCUCAAAUUAAAAGUAGGCUUUGAUAAUCUACGGAGUACCUAAUAAAUCAAAAUUGCAAUUAUUGACUUGACAUGCCUUCCUUUUUUUCCUUGUUUUUUUUUUUGAAUGAGGAUUUUUCAACUAGAUUUUACCUACACUUAUGCUGGAUAGUCUUCAAUAUUCCGUACUAUUGGAAAGUCCAACUUGAUAUUAUUAGAUUGGUAAGUAUCCAAAAAUAAUAUUUUGUUUAACCUUAACCGUUUAUUUGUCGUAUUAUUGAAUAGUUCAGACUAUUAAAAAAAUUGUUUAUUUUGAUCUUAACCCAUUAUUUCAAUCUCGCUCGCUCUCCUAAACCAUUAAUUAACUCUCGCUGAGUACUUGAGUUGACCAUCGUGGCUUAGAGCAUCUCUAAUGGAGAUGUCAAAAGAUAAAUGUCAAAUGUUAAUUUGAUGGCUGACGUGGCAAUGUUAGAUUUUCUCUUUUUUCAUCCGAUUUGUUUUUUGUUAUAAAUGAUAUUGUAGAAUCCAUUUUUUAAAGAAAUCAAUUAAAAUAAAUUUUUAAAAUUUAUAAUUUGUGCAUUAAUGGGACCAACACAAUGAAAUAAUUAAAAAUUAUUUGACAUCAUCUGUUCUCAUAUGUCAAAUUUGACAUAUGAAAACUCAUAUGUCAAUCCACAUAGGAUUGACAUAUCGGUUGGAGUUUACUCUUGCCUUCAAAUUUGAUUACAUAACAUUUCACUAAGGAUUUAACAUUUUUUUUAGAAAUGAUCUUAUGUAUUAAACAUCUUUGGUGUUUUUAUGUAUUAAACAUGACGUAAAGAAACACCAGCGUCUCCUUCGAUAAUUGAUAAAAUAAUUAACUCCUAUGGUGAUCAUGAUUUCACUUUGAAAGAGAUUGUACUAGAUUGGGUGGGAUCAUUUCUUUGUUUUAGGUGCCAAAAUGUGAACCGAACCACUCAAAAAAGAGAAAGUAAUUUCUACCUACUUAUUUUCUUCACACUCGUAUUCAUUUUUAACAUUUAGAUUGAAUCAAUAAAAAAAAAAAUUAAAACGGCAAAAAUAAAUCGGAGUACACGGAGAAGAAGAAUGCAAAAAUCAUUUCCCCACUCAAAAUUAGACCAAGAGCAUAACUAUUCUGGCCACUCACUUAUCAAAGAUUGAAUUUGAAACUUCCUGAAAACAUUUUCUUGGUAUUCCUCUUCAUUUGAAAGUAAAAAGUCUUAGGUUCAAAUCUCAUAGAUAGCGAAUUCGAUACCAAAUUAAGCUACCUAUGGUGUGACUUAACCGAACUCUCUCUUCUCUUAGUAUAAAAAUAUUAAUGUACUCAAAAGAAAAAACACAACGUUAACAGGAAACAAAACAACCUCUGCUUACACCCAAGGGCUGUGGAGGGGUAUUCCAAACGUCAUAAAACUACGAUUCCAAAACUGCAAGAUCUCUACCUCUACGGGCGGGCAAUGCUAAAGUUUAAAAAGAGUGGGGGAAAAAUGUUAACAGAGACAUAUUUUCCUAAAUCGUUUUCGGAUUUAACUAGAUGAAUGUCCAGAUUGGGGUCUGCUCUUCUUGUAGUAACUCCCAAAUCUUUGGGGAACCGGAGCCUCGUAUGAUGAAUCCCCAAACCAAAAAGCCGCCUUUCAAAAUAAUUUUGACGGAUGUGACAAAAUGGGGUAAAGUGAAACACAAAGUUAAUUUUUAAGUGAUUGGUAAGUAAAACAUUUUGAGUUAUAAUUGGCAAAGCGAGAAUAAGAUUGAGCUAAGAAGGUGGUAGUUGUGGAGCAAAAAAUAAUUCCAAAAAUCGUAGGGCGACAUGUGGAUAUUUUUUCUUUCAAGAUAGACAGGAUUGAUUUCACUAAAUGGGCAGGGCUCUCAAAUAUUCCCAGGAGCAGCUCAACAUCCUUAGAAGUUCAAGCAGCGGACAACGACUGAUCAAAGCUCCCCGUCGCAUGGAAAAGUUAAAUGUGUUAAAGAUAAGGUUAAUUACUAAAUCCUAUAUUUAAUACAUUCUCAAUUAAAGAUCAACUCAAUCAAGAAAGGAAUCCCUAUCACAAUUAUCCCAAUAUAUUUUCUUCUAAUGAAUAUCUCGGGAACUUUCUUUCCUCAUUCAUCCAACGGAUGACAUACUAUUGACCCUAAAAACUACCAAGCCUACGUGACGCGCAUGCCAAGUAACUAAUAAGCUAACUACGUCCUUUGGUUAUGUGCAGGGCGUGCCAACUCGACGGUCGAACUCAAUCGGGGAGUAAAAUGUGUUGAUGUUGCGUUGAGCCCGUCGUUGACUUCUUAAUCCUGCGAUUGCGGCUGAGGAAGGAACACGUCUCAGCCUUUGGGUUCUAGAGCCUGAAGACAAGGCUGCUAGUUCUGUGAAGUUCAUGAAUCGUCAGCACCGGGUUCAGUCACGAUGAUUAUAUUCGUAAGAGUAUAACCACGCUGAACUGGCACUAGGAAAAUAGACGCAAGUACUCGAAAGAGAUGUAUUUCUUGAUAGUAAAUGUGGUUUGAUCGUCGAAAUGCUGAACUCUAAAACUCACUUACGAAUAUCCAAUCAUAAAACAACUCGGCUUUCAAUGUGCCGAGCCUAGUAACCUGUAACACCUCACUUCGCUAAGAAGGCUGAUGAGAUGACCUCUACCAACAGGAACUCGAAAGUCCCUGUCGACCAAGACUUGGAUAAAUAACCAUUCGAUCUCGAAGCAGUGCUGUUUAUCCAAACUGAAGGUGCUCUUUGAUUUGCUAAUUCUACGCUCCAUUGAUGUUUAUCCAAACUGAAGAUAUCACCGGUUGCCUUCACAGUGCUGUUUAUCCAAACUGAAGAUGUGUUGGCAGAAGAAAUAGGAAAAGGAUAAAAUCUCAAAGGUUGUUGAGAAGCUUUGCACAAUGCAAUUUGUGUGUUGAAUUGGAGGGUCUUGAAUGAUGCACUCUCUUCUCUAUUUAUAGUAGCAAACCCCUUCAUGGCCGAGCUAGAAUCGUACUUGGAUUAGAACUCCUCAACCCAAUCUGAUUAGGUCUCGACCAAUCCUAGCUCCAAUAUGACUUUGAAUCAACCUCUUUUAACGAACCAGAUUCAUCCCCUAAAUCUCAGCAUCCUCAGCCUUAGCCUUAAGACUCCUUGUUGCACUAAGUCUCGAUUACCCUACCUUUAUCUAAACCAAUCUUCAUUGCAGUAAGACUCGCCCGACCCUAACUAAAUGGCCCAUGACAACUGGACGGCCCAUGAUAGAACUCUAAGUAGUCACUAGGCCAAGAGUCACUAAACUUGACCCAAACUAUCAUUUUGAGCCCAAACACAUACCUUGCCCAAUAAGAUGUCGCCGUGUGUAGGGCAAAACCCUAAACCCAUGGCCUGCCACUUCCUCUUAUAAUAUAAAUAACUCAUCUCCACCAUAUUUUGGUAAGCUUUUUGCUACGCAUACAAGCCCUAAACAUUUACUCUUUUUAGAUAAACUAACUUAGGCAUCAGAGAUCCAUUGGCCAAACCGCUCAUCCCACCUUGCCAAACCCCGCCCCCCACCUAGUGGGUGUGUAAGGCUUUGAUCUUUGAUCAAAUGUGUUGAUUGUUUUAUAAUAAGUACAAUUUUGUCAAAACUGAAGACGGUAAAAGUUUGCUACCAUUGUAGUUUAAAGAAGCCCUGCUGCCAUUGUAGAGCAAAGAAGCCUUGAAAACACACUGUUUGCAUCACGUGUGACUUCUAUUGCUCAAUAUAACUGGUUUUGCCGAGUCCACCCAACAUAUGGUGAUCAGCCCAACAUCACUAGGCCACAAACAAGGCCUAUUGGACCCGUAUGUCAGCAACCCCAACUUGAUAAAAUUGGGCCAGUUCAGUAAUGCCCAUGAACCAAUGGAAAAUAUCUCUCUACGUGGGACCCGAUAAACGAUAAAAUCUCCCUUCCAUCAUUAUCUAAGUCAGUAAUGCAACAUCAAGAUUAAUAAUAAAAACACGUGUCAAAAUAUGACACGUCUCACUUCCAAAGUUUCAAAACACAUGUACGGACGUAAGCUAGUUCACAAGACAACUCGGUGAAGUGUCGCGAGCCUUUUAGCUUGAUGACAAGGACGGAUCUUAUCUUCUCUAAGAUAUUUUAAUUUUUAUGCCGACAUCAACAUAGUACACCUGUCCUCAUAAAAUGCCAGGUGUCCUCAGCUACUAAAGUGGCAGGAAGGCAUGGAUACACUCUAGUGCAUGCACACCCCUGCAUGUCUACAGUCUACAGUCUACGUAGUUAGCCUAUAUAAACAACACUAUCUCAUUUCAAAUCCAUCAAAACAUUUCAUCAAAAUGGCGAAUUAUCAGUCUCAAUAUGGUACAAAGCCCCAAGACACAGAUGAGUAUGGAAACCCGAUUCAACAGGGUACUACGGGAGGCUUCGGUAGUGCCACCACUGGUACUGGGUACGGGACCACUGAAACCCCGUACACAGGAGGGCAGCAGCAACAAGAGAGAGGUACUGGCAUGACUGGAAGUGGUUACGGGACUACUGAUGCCCCGUACACAGGAGGGCAGCAGCAACAAGAGAGAGGGAUGAUGGAUAAGAUCAAGGACAAGAUUCCAGGAACUGGUGGUGGACGUAGGGAUGACGACCCCUACUCAUCGAAUGCCCAGACCGGUACUGGCAUGACUGGAACUGGGUACGGAACUACUGACGCCCCGUACACUGGAGGGGAGUACGAAGAAAGGGGGAUGAUGGACAAGGUCAAGGACAAGAUUCCGGGGACUGGGCAGAGGGAUGAAACCUACUCAUCUAAGACGGCCUCCACCACCGCACCUUACGGUGGCACCACCGGAGAGCACCAGGAAAAGAAGGGCGCCAUGGACAAGAUCAAAGAAAAGCUUCCCGGUGGAC
rnacentral:lncRNA from 1 species